UUCAGUGUAUUACAGAUUGACUAUUAGAACACUUGAUUCUAUAUUGCUAUCACCCCUGGUUGGUUAGGGUGUUCCCAGUUCAUGAGAUUGGAUCGAGCUCACUUAGCCUGUUUGCAUCUGUGGAGGUAGCUCCUCACAGGUAGUGCACUCCGGAGUUUGGCACGCGAAGGGGCCAGUGUAGUGCCCUUGGACCAGUGUAGUGUCUGCAGGCGGUCUCGGGGUAGGUGAAUAGCUAGCCUCCUCCCCUAUGAGACUUACACACGUGAGACUGUGAGCGAGCCUUGCGUUCGCCGAGAGAUUGGGUAAUUGGAUAAAUGACUUCGUUUGAACAUAGUAGUAUGAUACCUGGCCUUCUUACUAUGUGUUCCAUGCAUGCAUCACAUCGGAUUGAGGCAUUGAUAGAUUCUAGUUUAUAGCUGCUUAUUACUGCUAAUGCUUUCAGUUCCAUAUACCUAUCUAUCUGCAUUUCUAUCUGUGCCUGCUUAAACCUAGUGGGGAGAUCGGCGGAGUCGGCGGCCGAACCCACUGGGAACUAUUCGUAGUUCUCACUCCACCAUGUUGCAUGUCCGAGUCCGAGCGCCCCCGGUGAGGAUCGCGGCAAGGGCAUAGCGCCCUAGUGAUAUUAGUAUUGGUUUACUUUCCUUUAUGCAUUAGUUACACCUUGUACCUAUUUUGAGAGUAGAUUGAUGUAUAGGGUGAGGUUUUGAGAGAAUUGUAUAUGUUGUACAGGUUUAGAAGAAUGCAAAUUGUAGUAAUUGUAUUAAGUUGAAUGGAUGUAAUAGAAUAGUUAAGUAUCUCUCUUUUGCUCACUUGUAUGGUUGUAUUACUUGUGAUGCUUGCUCUCGUACUGUAUAGCACUGAUUGUGCUCUCGAUGUAUUUGUUUGAUUGUGUAUGCAUUCAAGUUGUUUCCUGGGAACUUAUUGUACACAAUCUAGUCGUUUAAACCUUGGGCGGACAGGGGAGGUGCUGUCCGUUCGGCGGUCCGUUCGCCGCGCCCGAAACGGACCAAAUUGGUAUCGGCCUCGGGGCGGGGGCGUGACAUCACAUACCCAAGGAAUGCAACUUUUCGAAGCCAAAAGUCGCAUUUCUUUAGCUUGGCAUAAAGCUUCUCCUUCCGAAAUAUCUGUAGCACAACUCUCAAGUGCUCCUCAUGCUCUUCAUCGCUUCGAGAGUAGAUCAAUAUAUCGUCUAUAAAGACUAUGACAAAUCGGUCCAAAUACGACUUGAAAACACAGUUCAUUAAGUCCAUAAAGUCUGUCGGGGCAUUUGUGAGUCCAAAUGGCAUAACCGUGAAUUCAUAGUGCCCAUACCGCGUUCGAAAUGCGGUCUUAUGCACAUCCUCCGGUUUGAUCUUUAAUUGAUGAUAGCCCGAUUGGAGAUCAAUCUUUGAGUAUACCCGGACCCUUGUAACUGAUCAAACAAAUCGUCGAUACGGGGCAACGGGUACUUAUUUCUGAUCGUAACUUUGUUCAACUCGCGGUAGUCCACGCAAGGUCGAAGCGAGCCAUCUUUCUUCUUCACAAACAGCACUGGGGCUCCCCAUGGUGAUACACUUCGCUUAAUGAAGCCCUUGUCAAGAAGGUCUUACAACUGUGCCUUUAACUCUUUUAAUUUCGUCGGUGCUAUAUAGUACGGAGCUUUAGAAAUCGGCACCGUUCCGGGAACUAACUCUAUCACAAACUCAAUCUCCAGGUCUGGUGGCAAUCCCGAUAAUUCCGCAAGAAACACAUCCGGAAAUUCACUUACUAUCGGAAUAUCCCCAAGUGCUAGGAGCUCCCUUUGAGUCUCCACCACCGACGCCAAAUAGGCUACACAUCCACUUUUAAUCAACCUUCUCACUCUCGAUAUCGACACCGUCAUAGCAAAGCGCGAGCUCUUACAUGCACGAUAAACCACUUCCUUCUGACCGGGCUCACGAAAAGUGAUCACUCUGCUUUUGCAAUCUAUAUUAGCAUAAUAUUUCGAGAGCCAAUCUAUUCCAAGAACUAUGUCAAAGCGUUUCAUCCGGCUCAACACAAGUAAAUCCACCGGCAUAAUCCAAUCGCCAAUUUGCACUGGACAAGCCGCACAUUCCUCCUUGACACUAAAGGUGUGCUCGGGUGCAAAACCCACCAAGCAUCAGCGUUCUCCGAAAUCUUAAUACCGUGACAAUGAUUAUGCUUGCUUGCCAUUUGUGCUCAUUCGCACAUGCUUGUGAGGGUCGCUCCCUACAAGCCGGCACUCCAGAGUUAGCCUUUUCGCUCGUGUGGGAUCGAGAUGCCUAUAGGGUCGUGUGGGACAGCCUCAUUUCCAGCGUGGGAUGAUGAGCUACCACAGGCAGCUAGGCGGUGAGACGCCUGUAGGGUCGUGUGGGACAGCCUCAUUCCUAGCGUGGAAUGAUGAGCUACCACAGGCAGCUAGGCGGCACAAGCUGGACUACACGUGUAGGUCCUAAAUGAGAUUGAACGAGAACAUUAAACAACAUUAUGACAAUCACGACAAUCACUACUUGAUAGUAUAUCGUAAUUGGAUUUAGUGGAUAUUGGGACAUGUACUAUUGCUUUCGCAUAAUAGUAUACUUGGUGGCCAUGAUAAAACAUAUUAAUCAUGUAUUGGUAUAUUGGAUCACGAUUGGGUAGAUGUACACUAUGUUGAUAUCAUGUGAUAUUGCGGCAUUGUAGAUUAGCAUUUCAUUACAUGCUUUUCUUAUUUGCAGUUUACUAGUAGUUCCUUUAUUUACUUAUGUUUUUGGGCCUAGUAGUGCAUUUUGCUCAGGUCAGUAAUUGCCCACUGAGAACUAUAAAUUAUAAUUCUCACAACCCCCUGUUUCAUGUUUUCUUUCAGAGCCUUCCACCCCGGGAGAGACUUGGGAUCGCGGUAAAGGAAUCGCUUCGAGUUAGCUAGCGAGGAAUUCGACGAUAGGUGGUCUACCACUUUUCUGAGUUUUGUUUGGAGAGGUUGAGAGACUUGUACCAUUUUUGUAGAGAUCACUCCCUAUAUGUAGUUUGAGACUUAUGAUGUAUUAUUUUACGUUUUGCUUUAGUGGUUUAGUUUCCUUUGUUUCUAUAUGUUGUUAGAACCUAGCUGUAUACUUGCUCUGAUAUCUUUAGAUACGCUCUAUUUAUUGUUUAUUUAUUCGCUAUUGUUGUAGAUGCCUUAUAUGCCUUAUAUGUGUAGGCGGGUCUGGGCAUGCAACGGGCGGGCCUAGGCCGGGUCCCUGGGCAUGACAGAUUAAUUUGGUAUUAGAGCCUAGGGUUGAGUCUUAGUGGACCUAGAAAAUCUUAGGCCGGUUGGACUAUAGGAAAUAGGCUCGUGAGAGACGAGAUCUAUUUGAUUUGUGAGCAAAAGUAUUGUCAUUGGAUAUUGAUAUAACUCUAAAAAGUUAGAGUUUGAUCGGAGUGUAUAACUUCUAACUUCGCGGAGGGUUACGUUGGCUGCCGACAACGUAACAUCGGGAGUUAGUAGUGAAGGACACUUUCUUACUUUCGCAUGAUUUGGGUACUAGUUAUUUGAGCGUGGUUGCGAUAGCGUGGGUUUUAUUAACUUACGCUUUUAUAAUGUUGUAGUGAUAAUGCCGACUACACGCUCUAAGUCUGUGGGAGCGGAGAAUGCGGCAACUUUUGAGGAAGUGGAGACAUCCACUACCUCCGGAUCCUGCGAGGUCCGUGAGUUGAGGAGCUAGCUUGCGGCCCUCACCGAUUUAGUUACCCAGCAGGCAGCGGCGGCUCAGCAGCAGGCAGAUGCGACGCGCCGGUAGGAGCGCAGAUGAAGCGCCUGGAGGAUCUUCUACUGCAGCAGGCGGCUGCCAGGGAGGCUUAGGUCCCUACACCACCCGCGCCGGUAGAGGUUGUUGCACCCAAGGUGUUGUCCCCUGCACUUGACAUUUCGCGGACGACACCGGCUCCCGAGGUUAUUGCGGCACUACCAGCUCAAGUGCCGUUGGCAGGGGCAGUUUUUCCCGUGAUGGUUGAGGGAGCGGAGCGGGAACGGCUCAUGGAUCGCCUCAAUGAGUUUAGGAGGUGUAGCCCCAGGAUCUUCGAUGGAGAGAGAGCCGACCACUGGAUUGUAGAGAAGUGGUUGAUGCAUAUGGAGAAGUUAUUCCGCGACACCUUCGUAGAAGAAAGAGAUAGAGUUUGGCUCGCCACUCAUCACCUGGACGGCGAGGCCUAUAGUUGGUGGUUGGAUAUCCAGGAUAACCCCAACACCGACCUUGCAACGAUUUCUUGGAAGAGGUUCAAGAAACUCUUGUUGGAGCACUACUUCCCCGUCAGCGUUAAGAGAAAGAUGGAGCAGGAUCUGCGCGAGAUGCGCCAGGGGGAUCGGACCGUGGCUGAGUACAAGAGGGAGUUCUCUCGGUUUCUACACUGUGUGCUCUUUGUUGUGAGGGACGACGAGGACAAGGCCCGCAUCUUCGAGCGAGGAUUUCGGCCGUCGAUCUUUCGGUUGGUGCAAUCCUUCAACCUCCAGACUUACCGAGAUGUGGUGAACCGUGCGUUCAUCGUGGAGAGCGGCGCGGCUGAUUUGCAGGAGCGUCGAGAGGGCAUGGACAAGGGUAAGGGUAAGAGGCCCGCGGCUGAGGGUGCAAAUUAGAUGCACUCUGGGAGGCCGCCGAGACAUCCCAGGAGCUGAAGCCAGUCGCAAGGACGUGGCUCAUCUGCACUGCAUGGAGGAUCUGAUCGUCGCCAGGCUCCGAGCUGUGUGAUCUGCGGUGGUCGUCAUUACCCGCGGCAGUGCUCGCAGAGUCGGGACAGGUGCUACCUGUGUGGCCAGGAGGGUCAUUUCCAGUCGGACUGCCUGAGGGGUCCAGUUCCAGCGCCGUCAUCAGCAUCGGCACUAGCUUCACCGGGUCCCAGUCGGAGGACACCUUCUGCUCUCUACCAGACUGGGCGGCCACCUGUCCUGAGACAGACGGAGGGGUCACGACAGGCCCCGAGCGGGCGCAUGUAUGUGGCUCAGACUGAGGAGGCGGCAGCAGCCGAGAGUGUGGCUGCAUGUACAAUUAUAUUAUUAUGGCAUUCGAGUUUAUGCAUUCUAUGAUUGAGAUGUUUGCAUCAUUUGCAUACCUGGAUCGGCUGUUCGCCGAAUUGUUUAGCAUUGAUCCUUUUUCGAUGCAUGAUCGGAUGAUCGGGUGUGUCGUUUCGAACACCCUACCUUGUGAGAGGGUUUUGUGUGCCAACAAAUGAAUUGGCCUUACUUGGUGUGGAGUAUUUGUGGGGUACCUUGUACCUUUGAUCUUGCGAGCUGACUUGACUCGCCUUGGGAAUUUGAGCACGAAAUAGUGCGUUUUGAGGAUUUAUUUUCGCUGGUUGUGUUAACUAUCCCCUUACCUAAAAUCGGAUAAUUACUGGGGAGGAUAGUAUUUGUGGCUCGUUAGAGCAUGUCGUGUAGGACAACGACGUUGGGUGUGCUUGCUGGACCAUUUGUGGACUGUGGAGCCUGGGCCUUUGGGGCUGGCGUAGUUAGCUGUGAGUGACAGCGGCUCGGUACCUACGGGUAGGGAAGAGAUUUUGGUCAGGAUGGUAGUUUGAGCUUAGACCUGGAGCAUGGAAUGCCACGUGUUGGAUCAUGGAUAUCCAUGUGGAAUGUAGUAUACUGAACUUCGGCAAAUUGCGGAGUUCGAGUGUAGGGAUGAUAAUUGGAUUUAGCCGACAUCUUCUAAAGGGUUGGGAGAAGUUGGUGAACAAGUUUGAGAGUGAUCGGAGUGCGGGAAGCAAGAAAGUGCAUUGCUCCUGCGAAAUUUGGCCAUUCUGCAUUGUUGUACCAGUACAACAUUGAUGCUGUACCGGUACAACAAGCAGCAGUGGCAGCAGCUGCGUGGCAACAGAUUUUUUUGGUCAUUUGGUGAUCCAUCCUUAUCUCUAUUCCUCCAGCACGAUCCCUGUAGUUGGUGAAGGGGUAAGGGAGCUUAGAACAUCAGGAGUGAAGCCCUCACUUUCUCUCUCUAGGGUUUGGAGCUUGAGGGAGAUAGGAAUUAGAGAUUUUGCCCAUUUCCUUUUUCUCUCCUUUGUAAUCAGCUGUGUUGGAAGUUUGGAGGUCGCUGCAGGUAGUUAGAGAAACCAAAUUGGAGGUGUUCUUGCAGCCUAGACUCAGCAACUAACUGAGUUGCAACCUCGAAAGGUAAGCAAUGCUAUUUCUCUCACUAACUUGACACUAGUAGUGGAUUUGGGGCUGAUUUUGGGUUCUUACGAUCAGCAGAGUUGGGGGAAGGUUCUAACAGCUAGAGAAAGGCUAUUUUGGUGUGUUGCUGUUGCCUAAACCCACGGGAAGAAUUGGGUUCAAGUUGAAGAAGGUAAGGAGCUGGUUAUUGCUGUAUCUUGAUAUUAUAGUAUGCAUAGUAGCUAAAAGUUGGUGUUGUUCUGAAAUCUGUCGACAGUGGCCUUGCAGCCCACUCUGAGUUGAACACGAGAUUAUCACGAGCUGGUUUUGGGUAUACUUCAUCUAAUAGGAGUUGGAGCUUUAAGUGGAGAAGGUGAUAAACAAGUUCUUUCUCUAGUCUGAUAUGAAAUGAUGGUAUUGAUGGAAUAUUAAAGCCAUUUCUGGUACCUGUUUUCAGCAGGUGUAUCGGCCACUCCAGGCUGAAUGUAGUGGCUUUGGAGAGUUGUUUUGAGAAGGUUAUAACCUAAGUAAAAGGGAGGAUUAACCCUGAGCUUAACAGAGGUGAGAAUUUCGCCGAAAUUGAAUAAGUAGUGAUAACUUUAAUGCAGAUUUUAAGCUUAAAAUUACGGCAGCCCGCAGCAGGGUUGCGAUCCACUGUUGGAGGGUUCUUUGUUGGUGAUUGAAGGCUUGGGAAGCUGAAAAUGAGUACAUUAAUCCAAACCAAAACAUGGGUUCAAGCUGGGGCCUUGCGCAAGGUGAAAAUAUUGCUGAAUUUGGAUGUUUGGAUACUAGUUUCAAUGCAGUUUUUCUAACUAAUCCGCAGAAGGUGCAAAGAUUACUUUGGGCUGAACAUUGAGACCUUUUUAGGCUGAAUUAACCUGAGUUUGAGAGUACUUCAACCUGGAUUAAGCAAAGGUUUAGCUUCAGUAUAAGCCUAGGUGAGGAUGUAGUCUAUUUCCGAUGAUUAUGUGAAGUUUUGCCAUUGGUAUAGAAGUUAGCUCUUAACUGAUUUUUGAAUUGAUAUUAGGGAAAUUGAAGGCUUUGGGUUUCCUGCGAAAGUAAGUUCGACAAGGAUCAUCAAGUAGUCUAUAAACCUAAUUGUUAUUGAGUUGAAUGAAAUCUCUAUAAUGUAGAGAGAAUCAUGAGUAAUGACUUUAAUGCUUAGUUCAAAUGCAUAUUCAGUAAAUGGCUUUAUCCUGCUUUUAUGAGGUAUAGAACAAAGAGAUUCACUUGGUAUCUUGAAAGAUUGUACUUGUAUUGAUAAGUUCUCAAGAUCAUUGACAUAUGCACAUUUGUAUUACUUUUCUAUAGUUGUUAAAUCUAGUGGAUACUAGUAUUUUCAUUAUAAUGAGAUUCUGACCUUUAGUCGAGAGCGAGAACUUUACAUAUUAGGAUAUGAUGAUCGGGAACUGUUGAACUAUGGAUCGUGCUUGCUUGCCAUUGUGCUCAUUCGCACUUGCUUGUGAGGGUCGCUCCCCACAAGCCGGCACUCCGGAGUUGGCCUGCGCGACAGCUUGCUCGCCGUGCGGGAUUGGGUGUCAAAGUGGAUUGACGUGGGGAGUGUAUACUACCACGGGGCUAUUAGGCGCGGCGCAAGCUGGACUACCUCGAGUAGGUCCUUAUGAAUUAAACCAAAGUACUAAAUGAUAACAAUAAACGAUUAUCACAGAAUAGUGUACCAUUACAUGUCUACAUAACUUUUCUUUAUGUGCAUAGUAAUCAUAUGCCUUGCUUCUAAUUGGUUGAUAUUUUCGACAGUAUAAUACAUGUUCAUUGUUAUUUAACAUUGAUUUAUCUAUCAUGCAAUAAAUGUUCUUACAUUUCUAGUAGUACAUCAUGAGCCUAGUGGUGUAAUUCGCAGAGACUGGCGGCUUACCCACUGGGAACUAUUGUUUAAUAGUUCUCACGCCGUCUUUGUUGUUGUUUUUACAGAGCCAUCCACGACGGGAGUGGCUAGGGAUCGCUGUCACGCCCCGCGACCACCCGCCUAUUUGGCCGGGUCGCGGCGCCGCCGACAGACCGCCGAAAGGCCAGGGUUUCCCCUGUACGGCGGACAGAGUCUUCCCUGUACGUUCAAGGCAUAGCAAUCAAUACAAUGUGCGAAGUUCCAACCAGGAACACAUUUCAAUCAAGAUUGCAUAAGGAAGGUAUCAAACAACAUAACACAUCCUAUGUUAUUACAUGCAUUCACAUUCACUAGAUACAUUUUACAUCCCAAGUACUUAUUACAUUUAACUUCCAAAUACAAUCCGAUUUAACAUGAUGAUUACAACUUGAUUCUUUUCAUUCUUUACAUCCCUAAGUAAGGCCGACUCAGGGUACCGCUAUCUCUGGUCUCGGUGGUAGGGUGCUAACUAAGGAGCUACGCCCUCGCCUCGCGCCGCCGCGCNCUUAUCCUCCAAUUUUCAUAAUUUUCUGAGACUGUGCAUUUUCUGCUAAUUUAUCUGUCCCGUUUCCAACAGAAAAUUCUAGAUCUUCUGUUCUCAUUCCAAUUUCAGCACAAGUCACUUCUGACUUAUGUUUUACUCCUACAAAUCCAAUAAAAAUAGUUUCCCACACUAUUUUUAUUUAUUUUUAUUUUUAUACCAAAAUCUGGUAUGUUACAAUCGCGGCAAGGGAGUCGCGUCUAGCUAGCAUAGCGUGGAGUCCAACUAGGUGAUCACCUCGCUACUUGGUUUUGGGACAGACGAGAUUGAUGUAUAUAUACCAGUAUAUAGAGAGACCACCAUUGUAUUUAGUUCUUUUGGGCGACCUUGUGAUGUAUGUGUGGUUUUAUAGUGAUGUAUACACAGCUUUUGAUUUUAUCUCUGGUUGAACUUGGUCAAGUUUCUACUGAUUCUCUUUAAUUAGUAGUACUAUUGGUAUGUAUUUUACUCUGAUAUCAGGUUAGGAUCUCUUUGUAACUGGUAUCUUCCUAACUUGAUUUAGUAGACGCCUUAUAUAUCUGCAGGUGUAUGGCGGGUCUGUGCAUGUACCGCGUAUGCUUCCACUGAUACCUGGGCGUGACAUGAAAUCCGAGGAUAAUGCUCUUUAGAGGACUGAAAGUGGAGAUGUGCCGGAGUGUGCCAUCUCAUGGCAGAGCUAAAGUCCAUGUGGAAUUAGAGCACUCACGAUGGAGUGAUGCACCUGUGAUAUUGUUUCUAAGCAAUGCCGGUGAUCGAAUCGGAGUGUGUUCCCUAGGGAAAUGUAUGCUAAUAUCCUCAAUGGCUCAAUAGGUCGAGUUGAGGUGUGAUUGAAGUUUCGAGGACGAAACUCUUUUUAAGGGGUGGAAAAUGUAGUAUACAGGAUUUUAAUAAAAGGGUGAAAAUAAAUAAAAAUAUUGUGAUAUACUAUUUUUAUUGGAUUUAUAGAAGUAAAAUAUAAGUCGGGAAUGACUCGUGCGGAAAUCGGAGCGAGAACAGAAGAUUUUGAAUUUUCUGUGUGAAUCGAGGCUGUUAUUUUAGCAGAAAAUGCACAGUGUCAGAAGAUAAUGAAAACUUGGAUUCAUGUCGAAAAUAUUUUUAUGAGGUUAGAUUUAAAGUUUCAUGUUGAUCCGACUCCUGGAAGGUGAAAAAUAAAAUCCGACUGCUAUCUGCUAGAGAUUACAGUUCGGUAGAGCUUUCGGUGACCAAAACAUGGUUGUAACGGAAAGAUUUAAAUUUCUUUCUUCUAGUUAGGUAAAACCGAGCAUGACUGUCAAAUUUGAGCGCAAUUGGACAUUCAGAAGGGCUUCGGCGAAAAACAUCAGUUUGUAUCUGCUAGAUGAAUAGUGUUUUGGGGGUAUAUAUAUACAUGUGAACCCUUGGCAUUCUUCAUUCGUGAGCUCCAAACCGAGAGAGAGAGAAAGAGUGAGUUUUCUCCCUUUCUCUCUUUGUCUCUAAGAUCUCUCUCUCUCUCUACCAAAGAGAGGAUUGGAGGAAAAAAUUGGAGCAAGCUUGGUGGAGAAGAAGGCUUGGAGUUGAAGCUUCAUCUCCAUCUUCUCCUUCCUUGGUCUAAGAGGAAACUUGAGAGGUAAGCUUCAUAGGGCUUUAAUGGUAGAAUUUUAGAGCCUCAAUUAUAUGCUCUAGGAAUGAGUUUAGAGGACUCCUCUAGAUGCUAAUAACAUGCUAAUUACAUGAAUCAAGUUCCAAUUUGGUGAUUUUUUGCAAUAGUAGCAUGUUAGGGCUCAAAAUGGGGGUUUUGCUAUAUAAGGGGGGUUUGAUCUAAAUUGAACAUAUUCAAACCUAAUUGUUAGGUAUACGAACGUGCUGGCGAAGUCGGUUCGGCGAUACGACGAGGCUACGCGAAGAUACUCCGAUUUCGGUACAGAUUGCCGUAGCUCGCGGCGUAAGCUUCCUAAAAUCACGAAACCGGAAUCGUAGCAUCGUGACAUCACCUAAAGUUUUGGAGCUAGGAGCAAGGCUUGUCUGAGGGAUUUUCUACUCAUAGUGCUAGGAGGGUUGUGGGCACCUUCGUCGGCGCAACGAGGGGUCGCGUGGAGCUCUCGGUGGGUUUGGCCUCACCAAAAAGGGAUAAAUUUCUCUUUAGGUGGUUUUCACUUAUCGUAAAAUAAUAAUGCAUGCUAGAUAGAAUAUUUGAGAAUUUUAGAAUGCUUAAAAUGCACAUGUUAUAUACAAUGCAUGUUGGACCUCUAUGUAGUAGAGAGUUUUCGUGUUGGGCUUGGUUUGGGUCAUGUUGCAUCUAGUGAAUAUGACAAGUAUAAAUGCACAUGUUAUAUAUAAUGCAUGUUGGACCUCUAUGUAGUAGAGAGUUUUCGUGUUGGGCUUGGCCUUAUGGAUAGCAUUCUUAUUUGUGGCUUUGGAUCAUGUUGUAUCUAGUGAAUAUGGCAAGUAUAAAUGCACAUGUUAUAUACAAUGCAUGUUGGACCUCUAUGUAGUAGAGAGUUUUCGUGUUGGGCUUGGCCUUAUGGAUAGCAUUUUUAUUUUUGGCUUUAGAUCAUGUCGCAUCUAGUGAAUAUGACAAGUAUAAAUGCACAUGUUAUAUACAAUGCAUGUUUGACUUCUAUGCAGUAGAGAGUUUUCAUGUUGGGCUUGGCCCUAUGGAUAGCAUUCUUAAUUGUGGCUUUGGAUCAUGUUGCAUCUAGUGAAUAUGACAAGUAUAAAUGCACAUGUUAUAUACAAUGCAUGUUGGACCUCUAUGUAGUAGAGAGUUUUCGUGUUGGGCUUGACCUUAUGGAUAGCAUUCUUAUUUGUGGCUUUGGAUCAUGUUGCAUCUAGUGAAUAUGACAAGUAUUAUACACUCUUGGAUUUGAAGCUCAUGCUUGACAUAGAUGAUCAGUUAAUGUCAUAAAGUGGCAUUAGACUUGAGUGAUGCAUGUUAUAGUAAGCUUAUGUCAUAAAGAGACAUUGGGCUUGGAAUUGGUAUAGUAAGCUAAUGUCAUAAAGAGGUAUUGGGCUUGGAAUUGACGUAGUAAGCUAAUGCCAUAAAGAGGCAUUAAGCUUGGAAUACGUAUGGACUUAGUAAAUCUAAGGUCACAUGAGACAUUGAAAUUAUUGAACGGUUAAACCUUCACUUGGGGAUAUUAAACUAGACCUAUGAGUUGCUAACGAUCAUUUCCAUGGUUGAGCCAUGAUGAUCGGAUCGUUGUGACAAUGACUAUGCUUGCCUGCUAUUUGUGCUCAUUCGCACAUACUUGUUAGGGUCGCUCCCUACAAGCCGGCAUUCUGGAGUUAGCCUUUUCGCUCGUGCGGGAUCUAGACGCCUGUAGGGUCGUGUGGGACAGCCUUAUUCCCAGCGUGGUAUGAUGAGCUACCACAGGCAGCUAGGGGGUGAGACGCCUGUAGGGUCGUGUGGGGCAGCCUUAUUCCUAGCGUGGAAUGAUGAGCUACCACAGGCAGCUAGGCGGCACAAGCUGGACCACACACGUGUAGGUCCUAAAUGAGAUUGAACGAGAACAUUAAACAACAUUAUGACAAUCACUACUUGAUAGUAUAUCGUAGUUGGAUUUAGUAGACAUUGGGACAUGUACUAUUGCUUUCGCAUAAUAGUAUACUUGGUGGCCAUGAUAAAGCAUAUUAAUCAUGUAUUGGUAUAUUGGAUCACGAUGGGGUAGAUGUACACUACGUUGGCAUCAUGUGAUAUUGCGGCAUUGUAGGUUCGCAUUUCAUUACAUGCUUUUCCUAUUUGCAGUUUACUAGUAGUUCCUUUAUCUACUUAUGCUUUUGGGCCUAGUGGUGCAUUUUUCUCAGGUCAGUAAUUGCCCACUGAGAACUAUAAAUUAUAGUUCUCACACCCCCUGUUUCAUGUUUUCUUUCAGAGCCUUCCACCCCGCGAGAGGCUCGGGAUCGCGGGAAAGGAAUCGCCUCGCGUUAGCUAGCGAGGAAUUCGACGAUAGGUGGUCUACCUCUCUUCUGAAUUUUGUUUGGAGAGGUUGAGAGACUUGUACCAUUUUUGUAGAGACUACCCCCUAUAUGUAGCUUGAGACUUAUGAUAUAUUAUUUUACGUUUUGCCUUAGUGGUUUAGUUUCCUUUGUUUCUACCUGUUGUUAGAAUCUAGCUGUAUACUUGCUUUGAUAUCUCUAGAUACGCUCUAUUUAUUGUUCAUUUAUUCGCUAUUGUUGGAGACACCUUAUAUGUGUAGGCAUAUGACGGGUCUGGGCAUGCACCGGGCGGGCGGGCCUAGGCCGGGUCCCGGGGCGUGACACGCGGUCCUCGACAAAUGCGCUCAUACUUGGCUCUACAAAACAGGGUGUGAGAACUAAACAAAGUUCCCAAUAGGUUCGGCCGUCGACCUCGCCGAUUUUUCCACUAGGUCUAAAAAGGCAUAGAGACAAGAUGGGUCAAUAUGACAAGGAAGUAAUAAAUGGAAACGAUAAGCCUAACAUGCUCAUAUACAAUUAUAUCAUGCUUCAAACGUAUUACUAUGCCUUUACCAAGCAAGUCAAGAUUCUACUAUGUCUUUAACAAUUCAACAUAUUAAUGCUCUACGAUGUAUGCAACAUAUAUGAAAUGCUAUGACCAUGCCUUGAUUCAAAUCCAAUCGGUUCGCCCAAAGGUCGAACCACAACUCGCCACACACUAUCACCUCUGUGACCGUCUGCCGGGGACGAAUCGUUGUGACUCUUUCCCCCGUCUCAAUCUAACAUGAGUGUGACACUCCGGAGCUCACGGCUUGGGAGUCGCGACCUCCACAAGUCACAACAGACGACACGAGUAUGAUUAAGUCCUCGCGGCCGAGGACCACGGGAAUCCCACAAUCACAAGGCAUGCAAUGCUCAUAAUCAGCCACAUGUGCAAUAAUUCCAAUUCUCACAGUGCCAUAAGUCCGCAUAUCUAGUUCACAUGAAUCUAGCAUAUUCUCAUAAUAUGUCAAUAUGCAUAUGUCCUCUAGCAUUUCAUGCACAUACAUAUAUACAUCUAUCUCAUCAUGCAAAUAAAUACACCCACAAGUAUCAUGCAACAUGGAUCAUCAUUCCUCACACUAAAGCAUGAAUUUAUCAAGAACUCAUAGAUUUCUCACAUAGUCUUAAUGCAUGAUGCAAUAUGGCCAAUAAGUAGAACUUAGAUAUAGAAUGAAAUUUGGCUAAUUCGGAUAGCACCCCUCAUCUCGAGUCAACGUCACAAAGUGGGAAGCCAAGCUGCGCAAUUUAUUGUCGUCGAUUUCACUCGACUACGGCAAAUGAAGUGAAAACGGCAAUUUCUCUUAAUUGACCACCGUCGGCUCAACGAAACCUUAAUCUAAGUAGUCCACCGCGUCGGUUUUACCUUCAAUUGCGGAAACAUCGGACCAAUUAAGAUCAAAACCCACCCUAAUCAAAAGCCCUCUUCAGAAACCCUAAAAUUCAUUUAUUGCAUAAAUACUCACAACUCUUCAUGAUUCAUGCAAUAAGCUAGGUUAGAAUUACGUAGGGUUCCAAUUAAUCUCAUUUCUAAGGGAUUUACACAAACCCUAACCUUGAAAUCCUCAAAAUCUCACAAACUUACCUCAACUCAAAGCUCCUCCCCAAGCCAAGCUUGUACAAGAAGGUUGCUUCACCUCUAAGCAAGCUCUCCUCCACUAGACUCCACCUCUUGGAGCAAACCCUAGAGAGAGAGAGAGAGGUUGAGAGAGAGAAAAUGUUUUCUUUUAGGUUGGGAAUGAGGGGGAAAAUGGGAGAAAAGGGUUAAGACCCCUCACAUAAACACUCCCACUUGCAUAUUUACACUUUAGCCUCUCACACAACAGGGUUGUGCUCAACAUGAAAUUUUUCGUGUUCGGGAUCCGGACCUUGGGGUCAGGGUCCGGACCCCGAGAGCAUUUCUAGCACGACCAGCUUGAAAUUUCUCCACUUGCUCUCCAAGUUUCCUAAACGGUUGUUUAAACUAUUCCGAAGCAUUCGGAACAUUUAACGGACCUCUCCAAACCGUCCAUUACUACACUUCGGUCAAUUUGAGUAAAGUUCGGUAUGGCGCACCGAGGAUUCGGUACACUACAUCUUGUCUAAUUGUUUUUUUUUUUUUUUUUUUUUAAGAAUUGUGAUAUUUUUUUUCUUUUUUUUGUGUGUUUAGAAUCAUUUUAUAUCUAUAGAUGACAUUCUUGAGAGGUUGGUCCAUAGUUGCAUUGCCCUACACCACAGCCCGAAAAAUAGAUUACUUGGCGACGGUUUAUUUCAUGUCAAGUUCUUGCUCUAGUGUUUAGACGGUUAAUGUCAAAUAAGUGAAUACCAUUCUAAAGAUUUUGUCAAUCUCAGGAAUCUCUCUGUUUUGUUCUGAUCGACCGUGGAAGGCUUGGCUAGUGACUGAGAAUGAAUGAUGAUCUCAAGUUUCAUUUUCUUUUCCGUUGUCUAAGUGAUCGAGUUCAAAUUGGAGUGGGGGGAUCAAUUGCCUGACCUGAUGAAAAUAGAUUUAACUCGUGAGAUUAGCAGUGUGUGAAAUAUGAAAAGCAGUAUGGAUUAGCUAUUUCCAGCAUUGUAUGUGUAGCACACUGGACCUCUGCAAAUUGCGAGGUUCGAGUGCUUGGAUGUAUUUCGAGCUUUUCCACACUUGGUGGAGGGUUGUAGAAUGUUUUCCGACCUAAAAAGUUCGNGUGUUUUGCAGGAAAUCAAGACUUCAAGACUCCUAGUUGUGUCUAAGUCAUAGAGUCUGUUUUAGGAGUUUUUGAUGUAAUUUUGAGUUUCAAAUUGUAUUUGGAUUACACACGAGGGGUUCGAUGUUUUGGUGAUGACAUUGAACAUCGUUUUUUUUUUAAAUUGUAAUUUGUGAGUUUGUGUGUGUUUUGUCACGAAAUUGCCAAAGGGGGAGAUUGUUAGGUCCUAUGUGUUGGCAAGUUUCGUGGGUCGAGUCGGAGUCUUGAAGAAGUUCGGAGCGGAGUAUUGAAGAUCGAAGAAUUCAAGACUUCGAAGAAUCGGAAAGGACGCAAAACACGUAAAACAUGAAUCCCGAUGCGUAGGUAAGUUUUAAAUCUUGUUUAUGGUAAUUCAUACUUAUUUAUAGAUCUUAGAAUCAUAUUUUCAAGUUGUAAUUGAUUAAAAAAUUUCUAAGAGCUUGUAAAAUCCGAAACAAUGCAUUUUCAGCGAAAAUCGCAUUGUUGUACCGGUACAAGAGUUUUCUGUCCAGGGUACAGCCAUCAGCAUUUGUGCAGGAAGUUUGAUGGUUGUUCCGGUACAAGCUUCAUGCUGUACCGGCUGAAGCUAUCCAGGGUACAGGAGCUUCGCAGAAAAAUCUUCCGUCAUGGUGUACCCUGGACAGCUUUUCUUGUUUCGGUACAAGGUGCUGAUUUUGGAAAGAAACUUUCUAAUACUAGUCUGUUUUGAUUCUAAAGUCUAUAAAUAAGCUAGAGGGGUUCUCUAACUGAUUAAGUAUCACGAAAAUACAUAUUUGAGAAACCUUAGAGGCUCGGAUUUCAUCAAAAAUCUAUUUUCUACAAAAAGCCUCUUUUAGAUCAAAUCGAGAUAUUGAAAUUUGAUAUUAAUAUGUCGAUUUGAUCUCCGCUUUGCUUGGAGUUCUAUUCCCUAGUUUUCUACAAUACUCCAAAGCGAAGGAUCACCAUAUUCAUGAUAUUCUUCAUGGUGGCGUCGUGGAUUCGGCGUAUUUGACGGCGGUUCGUGGAUUCGGAUCGUGGGCUCGUGGAUUCGAGUGGCGUCGUGGAUUCGGCGUGAUUGAAGCUUCGUGAUUCGAAGUGAAGGCGUUAAGUGGACUCGAACGGAGUGCCGUGGUACAGACACGGAGGGUAGCGCGAAGAUCAUAGGAGGUUAAUAAGAGGUGAGUCGUGGGUCGUAAUCACCUUUGUAAUCUUUUUCUCUUACGUGAAUUUUUUUUCACGUGUGUGGUCCCGUCGGGUUCUUUCUCCAAAGUUGGAGUUUUCCCACGUAAAUCUCGUGCUGCUUUUUAUUUCCUGCAUUUUAUUUUAUUGCAUCGAGAAUUUGUGGUUUUUUUGCCGUUCACAGGUAAGGUUACAAAUAGGAUACUAUUCACCCCCCCCUCUAGGUGAUAGAUAACAAUCCUAGAUAGAUCGCUCUUGCUCUCCUCAAAACUUUCAAAUUUUGGAGGCUCGUGGAACAACUCCGUUGCGGUAAUGUCGAAGGAAGCGCACGCGACGGUUCGGUGUUUGGCGCUAGGGUCUACACAAUGAGAAACUUAUUUGCUGAUGAAUUAAAGUAUCAAUCUAAUUUGAAAAAAAGCCAUGCAUAUCUUUGUUAUAGUGUAUUAUUGUGAAUUUUAGAAUGGCUCUUAAAAAAUCUAUUUCAUAUCAGUAAAAAUUUUGACCUCUAUUUAGUAGAGACGCAUGCAUGUGUGAUAUAGCAUUCUGGUGAAGACUGAAACUACAGAUCCCUAUUAUGAAAAUGGACCUUGCUUCGAUGCAUUUAAGGCUUAUUUGCACUUGUGACAUUAGAGGAUUUUUGGAAGCCGUAGAGAGCUUGAGGACUUAGACUAUUUGAGAAGAUUGGACGAAUGUCAUAAAGAGGCAUUGGGCCCCGGCUAGAAGUGAUCCUAGCUAGAUAUUGUUUUUAAUUGAAUGACUGGAACAUGAAUUGGGGCUUGAAUUAGUUGUGAUGCUUAGAGUGUAUUAAAAGGCACUCCAAAGGCAAGUUGCUGUGUUGGACGCGUUCACUUUGAAGACUUUGGACUAGAUCCUUGGGAUGCUAGUGACCUGCCAUGGCAGAGACAUUGAGAGUAGAGCUACUUGAGACUUUGACGUUGCUUCUUCCCAUUUGUGGCUCAUUCAGCACAUGCUUAGAUGAAAUGAUCCCCUAACAGCCGGCACUCCGCGUAGAUACUCCGGCAGUUGCCUACGCGACUUAUGUUUCGCCUCGGGUGACGGUAUUGAGGAGCCUACGGGGGUCGAGUGAGACAGACACAUUCAAGAGUAUGGGAUGUUGGGCGGCGUAACCACAUCAGGCACUUAUACGCAAACACCAAGCUGGACUACCUUUUGGUACGUCUUAAAUGGGAAAAUGGAAAUCGACACGGGGUGAGUUGUAUUAUAAUCCACUUACUGAAAUAAGAGAAGUAGUAGUGUUGGAUUAUAACGACUUCUUCAGUAUAAGAUUUGGAACUUUUGGGUAUACAUACAUACAUGUUGUAUGCUAGGAGACAUUUUGCUCUACUUAGGCAUUCAUAUAAAAACAAUGUUGGCUAUGAUAAGGAUCAUCGCUCAUAUUUCAUUAGGCAAACCAGUACAUUUAUUUAUGGCUAAGUAGAGACAUAUUUCUCCAUGAACAAGAUAAUUGUGGCAUGUUCACAUAAUGGCCAUGUUUAAGUUUGGGAGAUGUAAUAUUUUAGCAUUUUCAUUAAUCGCUUUAAUAGAUGCAAUUUACUUCGGUUUUGCAUUGCUUUGAAAUUUACCUUUUCUUUUGGGUCUAGUGGUGCAAUGAGCUGAGGUCAGUAAUUGCCUACUGGAAAAUAUAAAUUUUAGUUCUCUACUGCCCUCGUUUAAUGUUUCUUUCAGAAGCCUCCACGCCGGGAGAAGGCAAGGACACGGAGAGGGAUUGCUUAUGAGCAUAAGCUUCAAUUCAGAAGGACGAUUUGAAUAGGUGGUCUACCUCUCGUGGUUUUUAUUUUGCUCCCAGAGGUUGUGAGUUGUCCCGUUAUAGUAUACGAGACCACCCUUCUUUUAAAUGGAUCUUGCUUUUUUCUUUGAAGGAAGUAUAGUAUCUGUAACUACUUUUAUUGUUUAGUUAUAUUUUUUUUACUCUGGUUUAGAUGAUAGAACUUUACUCGCUCUGAUAUCAUUAGUUAUCACUAUGCUAUUUGUUCUACUUCUUGCUUUACUUCCGCUUUUGUUGUAGAUGCCUUAUAUGUGUAGACAUAUGGCGGGUCUGGGCGCGCUACCGGGAGGGCCUUCGCCGGUCCCGGUGCGUGACAGUAUGGUUGACAAAUCAUAUCAAAGUUUUGUAGCCAAAGGGAGCUUCUUGUGUUUACAAAUGCGUCUCGGCGAAACUUGAGACACUCCACAAUUUCAGUUCAUUGUGACCGUGGCAAGAGAUGUAACGACGACUAUGCAUUUUCUAAGUAGGGCAUCCAAUCAAUCUAGCUACCAAAUUAAGAAGACACCUGAUGUGAUUUGAUCAAGUUGGAGAUUAGACCUUGGAGGAACGGCAUGGUCCAUUACUUGCUGGUUCCUGUUUGCAUCCCAAAGGAUGACGUUUAAGAAUACCGGAUCAUUUUUGCUCGUAAACAAUCACUUUUACUGUUUGGUUCGCCGUAAUGAAGAUACGGUCGAAACUCGAGUUAUUCGAAACAACGUAAUUGAUUUUCUCGGCGGAAGUCAAUUAUGGUGGAGAGAGGUAAAACUCGAAUUAUCCGAAAUAGCAUAAUUGACUUUUUGGGCCAAAGUCUUUUAUGGUGAAGAGAGGUGAAAGAAUAAAUAAUAAAAUAAUGUAAUCGAUAAUACUUAUAUUUAAAUAUAUUUAGUUAUGGUAUUAAUUAUUUUUUAUUUAGUUUGCAUAUUUAAAAUAUGAUAAAAAUUGAUUAGUUCAGUUUUAGUAUUUUCUUCAUUUUAGUUUGUACAUUUCAAAUAUAAAGAAAAUUGAUUAGUUAAGUAUUAAUUUUUUUUUUUUGCUUUAUUAUAAUUUAUAUAUAUAAAAAUAAUUUAGUUGUUCUAGAUUAAAUUUUUUAAUUGUAUAGGAAUAUAAUUUUAUAAUUUUUAUUUAUUAUAGUUAUAAUUUAUUAUUUAUCAAGUUAUUUAUUAUUUAUAUAUAAAUUAUAGUUUUAUAUCAUUCAUUUUUUCUGAAACAAAUAUCAGAAUUGAAAAUUUUUAUUUCCAUAACUAUAAAAACAAACGGUAGGGAAGAAAUAGUUUUCAUCUGAAUUCAAUUUCAACCCAAAUGUCAAUUCAAUCCAAAUUUUAGUUUUGGUGAAAUAAACAAGUUCUUUUAUUAGUGCGGUACUAGAGUUUGCAGGUGAUUCAAAUGCACAACGACUUUCUCGAGAUCAAGCAAACCAACCAAGAAAAUUUAGAAUGUAUAACUGUUGAUAACACUAGAGUGGGAGUGGGGUUUAAUAAGAUUUCUUCAAGUUGAAGGGCAUGCGUAGGGCGGGAUUUAGGGUUUUAUGUUUUGAUGGGCUUUGUAGAACGCAGCGGAAGUAUUCGUUCAUACCUUUUGUGGAAGCGAUUCGCGUUACAACUCAAUGAGCCCGGAUCGUCGAGGUUGAUUCACGUGUCCUUUGAUCGUCCUUGAUUAAAUCUUCUAACGUUCCAAACUCGCGAUGGAUCGAACUACAAACGAGCACGAUCCCAAAUCCACCGUUCAAGUCCCUCUUAGAAUAAUAGGUUGAUGGAGAAUGUGGUUUCUCUCUUUCAUUUUCUUAUUCUCUUUUCUUUUUCCGUUCUUGUACCUAUUGUUAUGUGGGAUCGCCCGCAUAUUUAUAAGGGAUUCCAAAAUCCUAAUAGCGUUAGAGAUAAGACCAAAUCGGUUAUUAAUUGUUAUCCUAAUAUGACUAGGAUUUAUCUCUAACUAGAUUUCCAAUUUGAAAGCGAGAUUAAUUCUAAUCCAAUUAGAUAACAUAAUAUCCGUCGGAUCGAACUCGCUUAUGGGCGUACCCGAUUCGAUUUAACCGAAUGCCAACAUCUCCCACUUGCACAUGACGGGAUCGAUGCCAUCGUAACCACUUCCUCAACAUCACAUCACUAUUAAUUCUAUUCAUACAGGAAAAUGAACAGUGCGACUGCCGAGUCAACCUGCAUUUUGGGAGCUCUAUACUAGAAACCGCAUUCGGCCAGCAUAGAGACAUCAACCCUCAAAAAGGAAAAAAUAUUAGACUCGUGAUGCCCUAGACCAUUGAAUUACAUCAGGUUCAGCAUCUCUAAUCCUUCAAAGAGCCAUGCUAACCGCAAUUGCGCAUAUUAUGACACUAUACUCAUGAUUGUUUCGCUAUACUGAAGCGACACAAUCUGUCGACAAUGAGUCAAAGUGUUUUAAUGUAAUUCAACUAGUCUUCCUUGAGCCCUCAUGCCACUGAGUUGAGAAUUGAUUGCUUUCCCAGUAAUGCCCCAUAAAGCCGCAUCACUCAUGGCCGUAGGUAACAUGCCAAAGUAGCAAUAUCAAUUCUUUCACUUAAUGACAUAGUCAAAAGUCACUAAGGGCAUCUAACAUAUAUGGGACAUCGUCUCAAAAUAAUGUCCGUAAGAACUCACACGAUGAGGAAGCAGGGAUCCAUUCACUCAUCUUCUUUAUUUAGUCGCCCAGCACAUGUAGUAUGAAAUACAUGCUAUGACAGAGAAUCCAAUAAGCGUAUGUCUUUCUCAAUGUCAUACGGAUCUUAGCUCAGUCACUCCCAGAGUGUCUAGCCUGAGUUCUCCAUUUGCUCGCUAUCUCAAGCGUCAAACGGUGAACUCACAUCCGGCUCUUAAUAUACAGGCCAUACGAAUCGUGGGACUAUUCGUAUACGGUCUCAUUAAUGACCUCAUCUUGGUGCCAACCAAGGUUGCUUACAUUAAUGCCUCAAUUUUUGCUCGCUCUCUACAGCGCCGAAAAGAAUGAUUGUCCGUGUGAGAGGGCCAAUCAGCCUAUGACAUACUAUCAAUCAGUUUAAUAACAAUGCAUUUGUACUAAUUUUACCAAAUAUCUUUUCCAAAAUAAUAAUUUGUAAUUAAAUAACUAAUAAAUUACAAAAAAAUAAUCGACUGUCUACACAAUCAAAUCCUACGGAGUCCAAGAGCUUUAACAUGAGCCAAAAAAGAUUCUCUAACAAUAGGCUUAGUCAGAGGAUCUGCCACCAUGCGACUCGUAGAGAUGUGUUCCAGGAUUAUUUCCUUUUGCGCCACUGCCUCACGAACAAAGUGAUACUUUAAAUCGAUGUGCUUUGUCUUGCCAUGAUAUUUCGGGUCCUUCGUGUAUGCAAUCGCUGCCAUACUGUCACAAUAGAUCGUCACAGGAACGGAAGUACAAGCGAUAAUCCCAAUAUCUCGAAGGAACCUUCUCAACCAGAUAGCCUCAUGGGCUGCUGCAGAACACGCCACGAACUCUGCCUCUAUGGUGGAAAGAGCUAUGCAGGUCUGUUUCUUACUACUCCAAGUUAUGGCGCCAUUGCCAAGUAAGAAUGCAUAUCCUGAGGUUGACUUACGCUCAUCUAGGUCACCAGCCCAAUCCGCAUCGCUAUAACCGAUGAGACGUAAAUCCGUACCUUGAUAGCACAGCACAUAAUCUAUCGUACCUCUGAGGUAACGAAGUAUUCUUUUAACAGCCUUCUAGUGGUCCAAUUCCGUAUUGGACUGAAACCGGCUAACCAGGCCCACGACAUAGCAUAUAUCAGGCCGAGUACACAUCAUAGCAUACAUCAGGCUUCCGACCGCAUUAGCAUAUGGGAUCCAAUUCAUCUUAUUCUUCUCUUCAGAAGUUUUAGGGCACUGUUUAAGGUUCAAACUCUCACCUUUAGCAAUAGGAGUGUCAAUGGGUUUGCAAUUGUGCAUCUGAAAUCGUUCUAAAACUUUUCUUAGGUAAGUCUCUUGAGAUAGACCUAAAAGUUUUUUAGAACGAUCUUGUAGGAUCUUAACUCCGAGCACAUAAUUCGCUUCACCCAUGUCCUUCAUUUCAAAAUUAGAGGACAACCACGUCUGAGUGGCGACAAUCAUCUCCUUAUUAUUCCCGGUCAAUAGGAUGUCAUCAACAUAUAAGGAAAGGAUUAGAAAAAAUCCUUUGGACCGUUUAACAUACACACAGAGAUUCUUCAAUCAUCGUAAACCCAUCUUCAGUGAUGGCUCGAUGAAAUCGAAUAUACCACUGUCUGGAGGACUGCUUCAAUCCAUAAAUGGAUCGUCGGAGCUUACAAACUUUAUGCUCCUCACCUUUUACAGAGAAGUCAGCAGGCUGAUCCAUAUAGAUCUCCUCAUCCAGUUCUCCAUUGAGAAAUGCAGUUUUAACGUCUAUUUGGUAAAGUUCCAAAUCCAAAUAUGCGACAAUAGCCAAGAUUAGGCGGAUCGAAGCAAACCUCACGACAUGAGAGAAGGUUUCCUCGUAAUCAACGCCUUCUCGUUGGGUAAACCCCUUUGCUACCAGGUGAGCCUUGUAUCUAUCAAUAGAACCAUCUGCCUUGCGCUUAAUCUUGAGAACCCAUUUAUUCCCGAUUGUUUUGCGCCCUGGUGGCAAGUCAACCAAGUCCCAGACAUGAUUUGACUUCAUCGAUUCUAUUUCCUCUAUCAUUGUAUCCAACCCUUCCUUAUGAGUAGGUAAUGAGAGAGCCUCUUGGAAAGAUCCAGGCUCAUCAUCAUGUGCAGCAACCAUGAAUGUUUACCCCUCAAUCUCAAAACGAUGACGGGGAACUCCCACACGUGUGCUCCUACGAAGUUCAGGCUCCUCAUCUAAAGGUAAGUCGCUCCCAUUAUCCCCAGGAGGUAUCGGAGUUGUCUCCUCUGCCUCAACUGAACGAAUAGAAGUGCCAAUACUAGAGUCAUCCAUCUCAUGGAUCUCAAUUUCAUUUCGAACCUCACCUCUAUAAGGAAAAUCCUCCUCGAGGAAUUCAACAUCUCGUGACUCAAUCUCAGUCAAACUUUCAUCUGGCUGCUGUCUGAUGAACACGUUGUUAGUUGUAUGCCCUAGAAGCCUAUCAGGCUGACGCAUUUUAUUUUCUAUGGGACAUAUAUUUGUACUUAAUUUUUAUUAUUUAUAUAAUUGGGCUUUUUAUUCCAUUCAUNNNNNNNNNNNNNNNNNNNNNNNNNNNNNNNNNNNNNNNNNNNNNNNNNNNNNNNNNNNNNNNNNNNNNNNNNNNNNNNNNNNNNNNNNNNNNNNNNNNNCACACACACAACAGUGAUAAAGAGCAAGAGAACAAAGAAUAAAGAACAAAGGUAAAGUGAAAAGAACUAAAGAACAUUGCAUAAUCUGCAUGCUAUAAUGUUAUCAAUUCCUUGUUUUGUUCAGCUGAUAAUUAGCAUCAUGUUAUCAGCUGGUUACAGAAUACUUCAGCUUACACCUUUCUAUUAUGCCUGAAUUAGUCCUAUGUGGAAAGUCGGUGCAUGUGAGGCCGAACCCAUGGUGAACUUUGUGUGUAGUUCUCACCCGACUAUUCCACCCCAGAGGCUCGGGACCGAAAGGAGCGCGCGAGCGACCGAGGUAAAGGUAUGCCCGCCUUAGUCAGAGGCCACCACAGUUAGGGUUUCAUUUUGUAGUAUAAGUACCCUACAUUCAUCUUUGUACUUGAUGAUAAUGGUGUAAAGAAGCACUGUAAUGUGUAUUUGAGGUAAAUGUGUAUGUAAGGAACGAAAGAUGAAUCGAAAUGUAGAGAAAAUAUCGAAAAGUUUACAAGGUGAUGUAUGUAUAGCACGUGAUCUAAAUGAUCAUAUACUUAUGAAAUGUGUUAGUUUUCGCUCUUUUAUCACUAAUGGCUAUGUUGCUUCCACAUCAACGUGUAAGCCGUUGUGUUGUUGUAGUCAGAUUCUUUGUCUUGAAUUUUGUACAUGUUGAUGACCUUGGCGGAUAGGGGAAACUCCUGUCUUCGCUCUGUUACGUGCGUCGGUGUCCAAAUUGGCAUCGGUCCGCGGGCCGUGGACAUCAUGCAUUUAAGUGCAUCUAAAAUUAUGGGGGGCAGUAAUAAUUCCUUUAACAUAUGAACAUGAAUUUUAAAAACAAUUUUACAACAAGGUAAAGAGCCAUGGGGACCAUUUACGCACCUAUUUCGCACGAAGCGAAACCCCCGUCGCAACAGGAAAAGCUUUCUGUUUCCACGACGAAGUACUCCACCACACUCCUAAGUACCUAAAGGUAAUGAAAACGAAGUGCAUCUAACGCGAAACGAACACUCGCUAAGUUCAAAUCAUUAACCCAACUCCGAGCUAUGAGGUUGGGAGAAAACCACUCUCAAGUGAAAACCCUCUCUUAAUCAUCAACAUGGAAGUAAGGGAUCAUCAUCAAGCAUAACCUUAUCAGUUCCCAAACCAGUACAAAAAGGGCUUCAAAAGCCUCGAAAUCAAAAAGCCCAAUUCUAACCCUAAGAGAUCCCAAUCUAGGUGUUCAUACUAAGUAAACCAGCAAAUCAUGUAUCAAGUAGGGGUUACAUGCUACCAACCUCAUGAGGUAGCUUCAAUCCAAGCUCAAAACAAAUAGCGGUUGAAGCUUGAAUCUCCACAAAGCUCCAACGCGCUAAGCUCGAAGCCAUCCAAGGUGAAAAUGAGGAAGAAGAUGAUGAGCUCCAAGGCCUCCAAGCACAAGCUCCUUCCUGCUUCUUCUUCUCCUUCUCUCGUCUCCAUUUCUUCUUCUCUCUCUAAGAUAGGUGGGAAGGAAGGAAAUGUAGGAAGUGAAGAGGUGAAAUGCCAUAUAGACCAUCUAAAGCACAAAAUCCACUUUAGGGUCCCUCAAAACUCAAAUUUACAACUCAAGCCGACGGACUGGCAGAUUUCGCCAGAGGGACGGACGGUCUCUCCCCAGCAGGGACCCGAGUCUAUCGCUGCGAAUGCCGAAACAACGUUCGGGACCGGUCUCUCCCUGCGCGGGACCGGUCUCGUCCCACGCGCAUGACGCGCUCGGGGAUCCGGCUCUCGGACUGCCAGGUGACCGGUUGCCUCGCCGCAUGCGGCAGCACGAUGUUUACGGGGGACCGUCUCAUCCUAAUUGGACGUCGCCCGAGAGUAAAAAUCCAUCUCAGGAACUCGUGCGCAAACUCUCAGAAUCGACUUUAGGCCGGUAUACCAUCGACGGCCCUCCACUAAGUGUGGAAAAGUUCGGAAUACGCAUCAAACACUCGAACCUCGCAAUUUGCAAAGGUCCAGUGUGCUACAUAUCUUUACAUUGGCUUUUCGUAACGUUAAUCCGAGCGCACCAACGCGUCGGAAAUGCCCCCAAUUAGGUUUCUAGAGGGUCAAUUGCACUUUAGAAACAUCACGAGCAAAAGCCCUAAUUUGGGUGCCCUAGCUCCAUAGCAUACAUCAAACCUAGGGUUUGAUCUCAUUGGGAAGCAAAACAAGCUUCAUUCUACUCUAGAGACUCCACAAAAAUCAUCUCUAGGUCAAUCCAAACCCUAGUUUGGAUUCUACCAUGAGAGGGUAUGAAGCUCUCCUUCAAGCUUCACCUCCAAUACUAAACCCAUGGUCUUGAUCUCAAAUGAAGCAAAAGAAAAGCUUCAAGGACUCAAAAGGUUUCAUUAAAACCAUCUCUAGGUCACAUAGUUCCCAUUUUAGGGUUUUAGCAUGAUUAGGGUUGAAGCUUACCUCAAAGCUUUCCCUAUCUUCAAGCUAGAGAUGAGGGAGAGGGAGUUUCUCCACUCCUUCUUCUUCUUCUCCACUUUCUUCUUCUUCUUUUCCUUCCUUUCCUUUGUCUUCUUCUUCUUCUUCUUUGUCUUCUAGAGAGAGAAAGAGAGGAGAGAGUGUGAGAGGGUGUGAAAUGAGAAAAAUAUCUCAUUUGCCCUCAAACUUGACUCCAUUGGUUGCAAAAAUGCAAUUAAACCCCUCAGUUUUUAUCUUAUUACACUGCAAGAACUGGGCAGAUUUCGGGCUCGGGGACCGGUCUCCCCGACUUGGGACCGGUCCCAGAGAGCUCUCCCCGCAGCUGCGCAGGGCUCACGCGCGAUGCAACCGGUCUCUCACUAGGGGACCGAUCUCUCACUAGGGGACCGAUCUCUCCGGGACCGGUCUCUCCCCGCAGGGACCAGUUCCCGAGAGCUGGUUUUCUGGGACUUAGCCGAUUUUUCAGCUUUCUCAGUUUUCACACGUUCGGGGACCGGUCUCUCCCACCAGGGACUGGUCCCCGAGAGCAUGUCACGCCCCGGGGCACAGCGGAAACCCGCCCGGCACAUGCACAGACCCGCCAUACGUCUAAAACAUAUUAGGCGUCUAAAAACAACGAUGAAUAAAGCAAUAAUAAAAGACAUUUAGGAGUAUCAGAGUAUAAUAAAUGACUAAGUUCUACAAUAGAGGAAAGAACAUAAGCGAUAAUCCACUAAGUAAAAACGUAAAGUAAUACAAAGAGAAAUCCCAAAUACAAGAGCUAAAAGAGUACAUAGGUGGUCUUUAUACAUGGUAAACAAAAUCCCGCUCUCCCAAAACAUAAAAAGAGGGAAAACCACCUAAGAGUAAAAGUGAAUCCUCGCUAUCUAGCUAGCGAUCCCCUUGCCGCGGUCCCGUGCCUCCGCCGGUGCAGAGGGCUCUGAAAGGGAAACAUAAAACAGAGGGUGUGAGAACUAUUAAAUAAUAGUUUCCAGUGGGCAAUUACUGGCUUCAGUGAAUGCACCACUAGGCCCAAAAACUGAAAAGAAAAGGGUGAGUAACAAUAAGGCAGUAAAGCGAAAAGUAAGUAAAAAUGUAACUUACUACGACUUGAUAUCUCUACUUAGCAUGGAUGGCAUAAGUAUAAAAGCAACUGUACAUGAAGUAUAAGUCUACAACUAUCAUGAUGUCCACAAGCUAAAUAGUAAAAUGUCAUUGUUUACUAUUCUAGUCCAAGUCCACUUGACACUUUAAUAGUUUUAAAGUUCACAUAGCACGUCACUAAGUUCCAAUCAAAUAAGACCAACCCGACGGCUGUCUGGCCUACGCCGUGCCUAAUGGCCCCGUGGUAGUCAACAUCCCCACUCUAGGAAUGAGCCUCCCCCACGGCAUCCCAUUUCGGCGCCCAAUCCCUUACGGCGAGCAUAUGUCGCGAUGGCUAUCUCCGGAGUGCCGGCUUGUAGGGAGCGACCCUCACAAGCAUGUGCGAAUGAGCACAAUGGCAAGCAAGCAAUGAUCUGUCUCAAGUACCAAGUCCUCAUGUCUAAAAACAUGGAAUAUAACAAAUAUCUCAAUGGCCUAUCCCUAUGUCAUCAUGUCUCUAACAUAGAUUAUAGCAGAUGUACAAUGGCCUAUCAAUAUGUCUCUAUGUUGCAGUUUCAUAGUUUGCUAGUUUCGAGUGCCCCUUUAUGACACUUUGUCCUCUUUGUCCAAGCAUAAUACGUACGUUCCAAGGUACAUAUUUCAAGUCAUUAUCUUCGUAAGAGAUAUGUUAUCAACUUGCAAAUGUAAACACUUUUCCACAUGCAUGCAGUCUACUCAUAUAGCUCUACUGUAUAGUGAAAUUUUUGUGAUACAUAAGGCAUGCAUUUUAAGUGUUUCAAAAUUCAUAAUAAUUCUAUCUAGUAUGAAUAUGCAUUUACUUUCACAAAAAGACGAGUAUUUUACUCAUAGGGGCCAUUUUGCCCCGAUUCAUGAAGCCAAACCCACCAAUUUUUCGAACUCUCCGUUUCUCCGAACGAAGGUGUCCGCUAGCCUCCUAGCACCCUAAGGAUGUAGAAACAAGGGUUACCCAAACGAAACGAACAACGGAUUGAUCAAUCAAUAAGCAUUUCAAGCUAAAGUUGAAGAAAACUCACCGAUUGCGAAGGAAGCUCUCUCGAUCUCCAAAUAGGAGUUAGAGUCCUUCCAACCUAACCUAAACAGGUUCUAAACCCAUCAAUUUGGUUGCAAAGCCCUCAAAUAAAAAAUCCCCAAAUCUAACCCUACAAUCCAAAAUCUAGGAUUUCCAAAGAGAGAACCUACCAAAACAAGCUCUAAAAGAGAGAUCAUGAGUACUCACCACACAAGAUGUCCCAAACCAAGCUCCAAGUCCUCUAGGGUUGAAGGUUGAUCCUCAAUCAAGCUCCAACCAAGAUCUCAAGCUUCUCCAAUGGUGGAAAACCCACAAAAAGCAAGAAGGAGAAGAAGAAAGAGAUCAAAACUAGGUAAAUCCCUCAAAAAUGAGGAAGAAAUCAAGGGGGAGAAGUUCUCACCUUGUCUCCACAGGUCUAGGGCUCAAAAGAGCCCCCCAAGGGCUGUGGUGGGGUUUAAAUAGAGUUGCAACAAUUGCAAAAACACCCCUGCCCGAAAAACAGGCAAGUCUGCACUGUGUACUGGUACACGAGUUUGUGUACCAGUACACAUCCCACGAACCAGCCCAACCCGAGCCUCGGGUUGGCGCACUGGCUGCCAGGGCCGAUGGCUGUACCGGUACAGCCAUCACCGCGUACCGGUACACUGCCCUACAGCAAGCUACCCGAGAGCUGACCAAAAAUCUGACUUUUCGAAUUUUGGUGCUAGGUUUUAAACCUCCAAUCUCGGGGUUCGAACCAUGGGUCGGAACACUAUCCACGACUGUCACGCCCCGGGGCCCAGCGGAAGCCCGCCCGGCACAUGCCCAGACCCGCCAUACGUCUAAAACAUAUAAGGCGUUUAAAAACAACAACAAUAAAAGCAAUAAUAAAAGACAUCUAGGAGUAUUAGAGCAUAGUAAAUGUCUAAAUGCUACAACAAGGGAUAAGGAUAAAACUGUAAAUCCACUAAANAACUGAAAUGGAAGCUCAAUAUAGCAUGAAGUCACUACUUUCAUCAGUAAUAAUCUACCACAUGAUCUCUACUUAGCAUGGAUUUGCAUAAGUAAUAAACUACUACAUGAUCUCUACUUAGCAUGAAUUUGCAUAAGUAAUAAACUACCACAUGAUCUCUACUUAGCAUGGAUUUGCAUAAGUAAUAAACUACCAUGGCAUAAUUGCAGAAGUAAAAGCCCAACACCAUGAUCACAAGGUAGAAUGGUAAUGUGUCAUUAUCUACUAUUCUACUCAAUGUCCAAAAGGUACAAUAUGUCACUAGUAACCCAAUCUUGUGGAAGCUACCCGUAGGUAGUCCGGCCUGCGCCGUGCCAACAAUGGUCCCGUGGUAGUCAACAUCCCCACUCUAGGAAUGAGCCUCCCCCAUGGCAUCCCAUUUUGGCGCCCAAUCUCGCACGGGCGAGCAUAUGUCGCGAUGGCUAUCUCCGGAGUGCCGACUUGUAGGGAGCGACCCUCACAAGCAUGUGCGAAUGAGCACAAUGGCAUGCAAGCGAAUGAGUCCGUCUUAGGUCCCAGUGGUUCAUCACUGUUUCAUCGGAUCUAAAACCCGGAAUACAGCACAUGUCCCAAAGGCCUGCCUCUAUGUCUUCGUGUCUAAAACACGGAAUAUAGUAACUGUCUCAAUGGCCUAUCUCUAUGUCAUCAUGUCUAAAACAUGAAAUAUAGUAGAUUCCCAGUGGCCUAUCAUCAUGUCUCUAAGUUGUAGUUCAACAAUUUUCUAGUUCAAGUGCCCCUUUAUGACACUUUUGCUUACUAUGUCCCAAUAUGAAUAUUAAGUCUAAAAGCUUGUCAUUCUAAUCAUUUUCUACACAAGAAAUAUGGUCUUACAUCAUUCAUUAGAGCAUUAAACUCAUGCAUACUAACAAUGCAUAUGCUUUUCUCAACAACAUAGUGUAAUAUGUCGAAAGUUCGGAAAAUAAAUAUCAAACUUUAGUCAAAUUGACCAAAGUGUGAGGACGGUACACUUCAGAAAGUCCGGAGGUGUUAAAAUGAGUAAAAGUGUGUUGAGGAAGGUUUUCAAGAGCUAAAGAAUCAAAAUCUGCAUUCUGCAGAAUUUUAGCUCUCGGGGACCGGUCCCUGGUGGGUGAGACCGGUCCCCGAACGCGUGAGGAAUGAGACAGCCGAAAAAUUGGCUAAGUCCCAGAAGAGUAGCUCUCGGGAACCGGUCCCUGCCGGGAGAGACCGGUCCCCGAGAGACCGGUCCCCCAAGGAGAGACCGGAUGCAUCGCGCGUAGCCCUGGCUGCCCGCGGGAAGAGCUUUCUGGGACCGGUCCCAAGUCGGGGAGACCGGUCCCCGAGCCCGAAAUCUGCCCAGUCCAGGCAGUGUAAUAAAAUAAAAGUUGAGGGGUUUAGCUGCAAUUUUGCAACCCAUUGAGCUAUGUAUGAGGGGUAAUGAGGUAUUUCUCUCAUUCUACUCCCUCUCACACUCUCAUCUCUUUUUCUCUCUCUAGAAGACAAGAAGGAGAAGAAGAAAACAAAGGAAAGGAAGGAAAAGAAGAAGAAGAAAGUGGAGAAGAAGCCAUUGGAGUGAAGCAACUUCAUCUUCUUUCUCUCUAGUGCAAGAAAGGAGCAAGCUUAGAGGUAAGCUUUGCCCCUUUUCAUGUUAAUUCCCAAACUAGGGUUUGGGUAAACCUAGAAAUGGUUUUUAUAGAGCUUUUAGAGUCUUUGAAGCUUUCUUUUUGCUUCUUUUGAGAUCAAGACUAUGGCAUGAGUAAAAGAGGUGAAGCUUGAAGGUGAGCUUGACACCUCUCAUGGUGAAACCCUAAAAUGGGUUUUAGUAAAGCUAAGAAUGAUUUAGAUGGACUCUUUAGAGUAUAAUGAAGCUACUUUUGCUUCCCAAUGAGAUCAAACCCUAGGUUUGAUAAUGCUAUAGAGCUAGGGCACCCAAAUUGGGGCUUUUGCUCAUGGGGAUUUCUAAGUGCAAUUGACCCUCUAGAAACCUAAUUGGGGGUAUUUCCGACGGGUUGGUGCGCUCGGAUUAACGUUACGAAAAGCCAAUGUAAAGAUAUGGGCAAAAUGGCCUAUGUUGGCUUCGUUUUGCCGUAGGUGAAGAACGAGGAGCCUAAAGAUCCCAAGGAAAUUACCGGAGCACCUAAGAAAGCCUACGAGGUGGGUGGUGCUUUUCAAACUUGUUGAACUUCUGUCACGCCCCGGGACCCAGCGGAAGCCCGCCCGGCACGUGCCCAGACCCGCCAUACGUCUAAAACAUAUAAGGCGUCUAAAAACAACAAUAAUAAAAGCAAUAAUAAAAGACAUCUAGGAGUAUCAGAGCAUAGUAAAUGUCUAAAUGCUACAACAAGGGAUAAGGAUAAAACUGUAAAUCCACUAAAGAAAACAUAAAGUGACACAAGAAAAUCCCAAAUACAAGUGCUAUAGGUAAAUACAUAGGUGGUCUCUAUACAUGGAUACAAAAACCUCUCACUCUCUCAACUACAAAAAGAAAGAGUAAACCACCUAGGCAAAGUAUCGCUCUUCGCUAGCUAGCUAAGCGAUCCCCUUGCCGCGAUCCCAUGCCUCCGCCGGUGCCGAAGGCUCUGAAAAGUAAACCAUAAAACAGGGGCGUGAAAACUAUUAAAAAUAGUUCCCAGUGGGCAAUUACUGACUUCAGUGAAUGCACCACAAGGCCCAAAGCUACAAAAGAUGUCAGUGACUAUAAAUGUAGAAAAGCGAAAGGUAAGUAAAAAUGCAACUUACUACAACAUGAUAUCUCUACUUAGCAUAAAUAACAUAAGUAUGAAAGCAACUAUGCAUGAAGUAAAAGUCUCCAACUAUCAUAAUGUUCACAAUUCCGAAAUAGUAAAGUUCCGUUCGUUUACUAUUUCUAGUCAGAUGAUCCAAGUAAUACCACUAAGUCAUCGUCGUCACAUGUCAUAGUAUGAAUACUCAAAGUCAAACCUGGAGAGACCCACCCGAUAGGCUGUCUAUGGCCCUUGAGACCCACCCCGUAGGCUGUCUUGCCGAUCCUGUGCCUAAUGCCCCGUGGUCAGUCAUCAAUCCCCACACCUAGGAAUGAAAGCCUGGCCCACGGCAAUUCCACUUCGUGCGCCAUCCCCGCACGCUCAGAAUAAAUGAAGAAAUAUCGCCGUAUGCUCAUCUCCGGCCCAGUGCCAGCUUGUAGGUGGCGACCCCUCAAGCAAGAUGUGCGAAUGAGCACGAUGGCCAAGUAAUUCAAUGAUCUGUCGCAAGUACCGAAGUCCUCAUUCUAAUAACAUGGAAUUGUGUCACAGUAUCUCAAUGGCCUAUCCCUAUGUCCUCAUGUCUCUAACAUGGAAUAUAGGCAGAUAUGUGUGGGCCAAAUCAGUAUUGUCUCUGAUGUUUCAGUUUCAUAGUUUACUAGUUUCAAUGCUUCUUGAGCACUGUUAGGCUAUAAGUCCAAACAUAGUUUAUAAUUUUCAGAUACACGGAAAUAUGAGCUAAAUUAGCAUACUAGACGGAGAAUUAACCAUUCGUCCCUGAACACCCUCACAUGCAUAAAAUACCGCCGAUUACUCUACUAUGUAGAGUGAAAUUUAACUUUACACAUAGGCAUCAUGCAUUUUUAAGUGUUCUAAAUUCACAUAAAUUCCAAAAUAACAUAGAAAUUGCAUUCAAAAAUACUUUACGAAAAGUUUUAGAAAUGCAUUAGGGCGCCAUUUCACCCCGUUUUCAUAAUCAAACCACCGUCUUCACAGAAAGCUUUCGUUUGCCACACGAAAGGCGUCCACCAACACUCUAGUACCCUAAAGGAUAUGAGAACAAAGAUCUUAGUCGAGCAACGAACGACGCUAAGUUCAAUCUUUAAGCUAUUCAAGCAUAGGUGGAGGAGGAAAACUCACCUCAAAGUGCAAAAAUUCCUCUAUAACCUCCAAAGAGAGCUAGAGUCCACUCCAAUCUCACUAAAGGAAGCUUCUAAGCCAAUCAAUUCUAGCUUCAAAAGCCAGUUCAAAUACCCAAAAAUAACCCUAAUAUUUCACAAUCUAGGGUUUCAUCUCAAAUCCAUCAAUAAAGCUCAAGUCUAGAGGGAGAGAACAAGUCACUUACCUCUAAGAAGCUUCAAACCAAGCUCCAAAAUCCUCAAAGUGUGGAGAUCUCCCUCUUCCCAAGCUCCAAGGUCAAGCUCCAAUGGAGGAAAAGCUUCCAACAAGCAAAAAGAGCAAAAAGAGGGUUUAAUCCUCCAAAAUCCAAGAGAAUGGGAUCAAAUCCAAGGGAGGAGGAGAAGAAGGGUGCCCUACCUUGCCCUCUCUGUGAUCUGAGCUCAGGAGAAGCCCUAAGGGGCGUGGGGUACUAAAUAGAAGGCUACAAUUGCGAAAACCCCCUGCAGUUCAAACUGCUCAGAUUCUGCCAAAGUGUACCGGUACACGGGAAAGUGUACCGGUACAAAUCCUACGAAAAUGCAAACCCGAGGCUCGGGUUUGAAAUUCGUCACAAGUGUACCGGUACAGCCAUCAAAAGUGUACCGGUACAAAAUGUGUACCGGUAUAGCCAUCGACCUGUCACCGGUUACACCUCGUGCAGAAUGCAAUCCGAGGGUAGGCUAAGUCCAACUCUUUGGUGACCUUAGCGCUACAUAUAAUACCACAAUUCUCGGGAUACGAGCCAUGGGUCGGAACACAGUCAACGACCCACCAGAAAGUCUGGAAAACUCGGGACACUAUCCAAACACUCGAACCUCGCAAUUUGCAAAGGUCCAGUGCGUCACAACUUCCCUCUAUGCCUAAUGUGUCAUUCAAUUGAGCAUAUGUAUAUACAUUGUUGCAUGCAUUUUAGGGUAAAGUAAUGCUAAAAAUGUGAUGUUGCAUGAUUGUGAGCACAACUUGCAUAAUGUGAUGGUUAAGAACCUUAUGAAUGUCAAAAACCCUAUAUAUGUAUGCAUGAGAGAAAGUGUGAGAACCAAAGUGAGGCGAAAGAACCGAGUGACACAAUGAGACAUAGAUCGAGUGGCAUUUGAUAAUGUAAAGUGAAGAACACUAGAGUUAGUGUGGGGCAAAAGAAUCAAUGCGAUGUAAAGAUAAUGACAAUGGCUAAAGUUAAUGCAAAGUGUGGCAUCAAGAAUAAAGAAUGGAAAGAUAAUGCAAAGUGGGCAAAAAGAACAUGUAAAGAGUAAAGAACAUGAAUGCUAGAGUUAGCCAAAAGUAAAGAAAGGCAAAGAACAAUGAUUGCUAGAGUUAGCAAAAGUAUAAGAAACGUAAAGAACGUGAUUGCUAGAGUUAGCAAAAGUAAAAGAAAUGUAAAGAACAAUGAUUGCUAGAGUAGCAAUAUAAAGUGAUGUAAAGAACACUAGAGUUAGUGUAAAGUCAAGAUUGAACAUACAAUCCUUUGAGUUAAGGAUUCGAUCAUACUUGCUAUGAGUUCCGUGCUCGAGGGCGGUCGCUUCCCCUCGGGCGAUGCACUCCGGAGUUUUUGCAUCACGGGUUGGAGUAAACCCGAAGGACGGUCCUAGCGGGUGAGUUCCUGCGAUGAUGGACUUAAUGUGAAGCAAGCUUAAUGUGGCGAAACCCCCGGGUUAGCCUUGAGAUUAAAGAACAAAGAGCAAAGAACAAAGAAUAAAGAAUAAAGGAACAAAGAGUAAAGUCAAAGAACGAAAGAACUUGCAUAAUCUGCAUAUGUUUAAUGUUGAGCAUACUUCUUGCUUAUUGUUCAGGCAUAUUAGCAUCAUGUUAUAGAUUGGUUACUAUAUUCAGCUUAUCCUUUCUAUUAUGCCUGAGUUAGUCAUAGUGGGAAAGUCGGUGAUGUUGAGGCCGAACCCACUGGGAACUUUGUUGUAGUUCUCACCCCACUAUUCUACAGAGCCGGGACCGAGCGAGCCGGCGAGCGACCGAGCUAAAGGUAUCGCGCCUUAGACAGAGACCACCAGAGUUGAGCUCAGUUUACAUUUUGUUAGUAAAGUACCCUACGUUCAUCUAUUGUAUUUGAUGACUAGUGAUGUAAAGAAAAGAAUGCAAUGUUCAUUUUGAGGUGAAUGUGAUGUAAAAGAAAUGAUGAAAGAAUGUAAAGACUUUAUGUUGUAAUGUGAUGUAAUGUAAUGAAAUACAAGUAAUCGUAAAUGUCUAAGAUGGAUGCAAUGUAUAUGAUCAAAAAUGAAUCAUAGGACUUGUGUAAAGGCUUAGUUUUCCUUUCUUUCACUAAUGGCUAUCGCUUACCCUCAUGUAAGCCGUUUGUGUAUGUUUCCGCUAGUGCACUUCUUGCUUGAAAUUGUACAUGUGAUGAGCCUUGGGCGGAUAGGGAAAACUCUGUCCGUUCGGCGUCUGUUUGACGUGCUCGGGCGGGCCCAAAUUGGUAUCGGUCCCGGGGCGUGACACAUAGAGUCAAUUUUUCAUGAUGCAUAACAUAGGGGUUUUAAGCGUUCUAAAAUUCACAUAAAUUUCACAUAACAUGAAUAUGUAUGUAUUUAUAGUAUACGAAAACAUUUAACCACAUAGGAGGCAUUUCCUCCAAUUUCAAUGAAGCCAAACCCACCAAAAGCUCCGCGCGGGCGUCCGAAACGCUAACGAAGCUUCGAUGAUCACUCCUAGCACCCUAAGAGAUAGGCUAGGGAAGUUACAACAUCGAAACGACAAUUCAUGAGUCCAAACAUUAAGCAACUCAAGGAAAGGGCUAAAAACUCACUGAAAAUGGUGAAAGUCUCUCUUGAUCCCCAAAAGGAAGCAAGAAUCCUUCAAAACCAACCUAAAGGAAGGUUCCAAUAAGAUCAAUCAAGAUCAAAAAGCCUCAACUCAAAAAUCCCCAAUUCUAACCCUAAAUCUCAAAACCUAGGGUUCCAACACACAAAACCUAUCAAAACAAAGAUCAAGAGGUAGAAAAAUACUACUUACCUCUCAAGAUGCUCCAAACCAAGCUCCAAACUAAGUGGAGUUGAAGAUCUCCUCUCAAACAAGCUCCUCUCCAAGCUCCAAGCCUUCAACAAUGGAGGAAACCCAACAAAAAGCAAGGUGGAGAAGAAAGGAGAGAUCAAAACCAACCAAAAUCCACCAAAAAUGGAGAAGAAAUCAAAGGGGGAGAGUCUCACAUUGUUCUCCACUGUUUUGAGCUCAAGAGAGCUCUCAAAGGGGCUGGGGUGAGUUAUAAAGGGGUUGCAACAAUUGCAAAAACACCCCUCCACAACUUCAGCCCGCAGAGCAAAGUGUACCGGUACACGGGAAAGUGUACCGGUACAAAUCCUGCGCGACAGCAAACCCGAGCCUCGGGUUCGCAGAAAAUCUCAAGUGUACCGGUACAACCAUCAAAGUGUAUCGGUACAAAUCCUGUACUAGUACAACCAUCAAGGCUGUACCGGUACACAGCCUAGCUGAGGCCAACCCGAGAGCAGGACCAAUAAUCCAACUUUUUGGAUUUUGGUACAAGCUUUAAACCUCAAUUCUCGGGAUGCGAGCCAUAGGUCGUGACACUGUCAACGACCUUCCAGAAUAUCUGGUAAAGCUCGGAACACAGAUCAAACACUUGAACCACGCAAUUUGCAAAGGUCCAGUGUGUUACACCCUUGUCGCCCCCAGCCACCUUCACCUCGCUCCCCUGCCCUAGACGCACACCCUCGGCCGCCGCCGGCUGAGCCCGGCCGCCGCCGAGCCAUCAUCUUCUUCCCUCUCCAUCUCUCUCUCCAUCUCUCUCUUUUCUUCUCGGGUUAGAGCCCAGGCCGAGGCUGCAUUGCCUCCAGUCUCUUACCCGGCGUCUUUCCGGAGCCUCGGCGACCCUCUCCGCCGGCCGCCGCCGCCUCGAACCGCCCCUAGCGCCGCUGCUGCACCCUGCAACUUGCUGGGCCGAGCCCUGGCCGAGGCAAGCCUGCAGCCUUUCCCGAGCGCUGCCGCCACCUUGGACCACCCCCUGCCGACUUCCCGGACCCCCGGCGUCCCUCCCCGCCGGUCGCUGCAGCCCCUACGGGCCGCCGCUGCCACCUCGGCCACACCCGAGGCACUCCUCCGGCCUCCAGCAACCUCGCCGUCCCGGAGCUCCCCAGCUGCCACCGUGGCCGCCAUUGCCCAUGGAACCCGAGCCCUAGUUGGUGCGGGCUCGGUUUGCUCCGCCGUCGCCGCCGCCGCUCUCCGCCGCCAAUCGAGGUGAGCAGUGUGCUCCUUCUUUCCCCCGCACCCACUUCUGGCCCAUGCGCACCGCGCCGUGCCGCCGGAAGCCGGCCGGAGCAAGUUUGCUCCGGCCAAGCCCGAAAUAGGGCUUAGUUGAGUGGGUUUGUUGUUUUGAGCUUCCCGAGGCCUCCUGAUUAAUAUGGAAGGGAGCACGAUGAUCAUGGCAAAUAGUUGAUCAUCGUGCUCACCUUGGUUUCUGUCGUGAAGGCCCCGUUCUGCUGUUUCAGCGGUGUCGACCCUGUAGAGCCUUUUUGGCUGCUGUUUCAGGUUUGCGUGUGUUUUUUCGGCGAUCCGAGGCUGUCCCGAUGCCUCCGGAGGUGAGGAUGGUGAUCGUUGGUUAGUGCCGAUCACAGUGUUCACCUCACUUUGGAUCAACGAAUUCCGGUUAGUUCUGUUCGGCGUGAUUUUCCCCGACUGCGCGCUGUUUACAAAAAUUUUGGGUCGCUCCCGCGCCUCCCACAGUGAGUCGUUGUGCUCCGGAUCGUGAGCAUGGCCUCCGGCGCAUCGAGACCUGUCAGUACGUGUAAUAUACCGAGAAUUCGGAAAAUAAAUAUCGAACUUUAGUCGAAUUGACCAAAGUGCGAGGAUGGUACACUUCGGAAAGCCCGAAGGUGUAAAAAUGAUCAAAAGCGUGUUAUGGGAGGUUUUCGAGAGCUAAGGAAUCAAAAUCUGCAUUCUGCAGGUUUUGUGCUCUGUAACACACCGAACCGUUGCAAAUAGUGAGGUUCGAGUGUUUGAUUUGUGUUCCGAACUUUUCCACACUUUGUGGAGGGUCGUGGAUAGUGUUCCGACCCAUGGUUCGAACCCCGAUAUUGGAGGUUUAAAAGCUAGCACCAAAAUUCGAAAAGUCAGAUUUUUGGUCAGCUCUCGGGUAGCUUGCUGCAGGGCCGUGUACCGGUACGCGGUGAUGGCUGUACCGGUACAGCUAUCGGCCCUGGCAGCCAGUGCUCCAACCCGAGGCUCGGGUUGGGCUGGUUCGUGGGAUGUGUACCGGUACACAAACCCGUGUACCGGUACACAGUGCAGACUGGGCUGUUUUUCGGGCAGGGGUGUUUUUGCAAUUGUUGCAACUCUAUUUAAACCCCACCACAGCCCUUGGGGGGCUCUUUUGAGCCCUAGACCUGUGGAGACAAGGUGAGAACUUCUCCCCCUUGAUUUCUUCCUCAUUUUUGAGGGAUUUAUCUAGUUUUGAUCUCUUUCUUCUUCUCCUUCUUGCUUUUUGUGGGUUUUCCACCAUUGGAGAAGCUUGAGAUCUUGGUUGGAGCUUGAUUGAGGAUCAACCUUCAACCCUAGAGGACUUGGAGCUUGGUUUGGGACAUCUUGUGAGGUGAGUACUCAUGAUCUCUUUUUUAGAGCUUGUUUUGGUAGGUUCUCUCUUUGGAAACCCUAGAUUUUGGAUUGUAGGGUUAGAUUUGGGGAUUUUCUAUUUGAGGGCUUUGCAACCAAAUUGAUGGGUUUAGAACCUUUGUUUAGGUUAGGUUGGAAGGACUCUAACUCCUAUUUGGAGAUCGAGAGAGCUUCCUUCGCAAUCGGUGAGUUUUCUUCAACUCUAGCUUGAAAUGCUUAUUGAUUGAUCAAUCCGUUGUUCGUUUCGUUUGGGUAACCCUUGUUCCUACAUCCUUAGGGUGCUAGGAGGCUAGCGGACACCUUCGUUCGGAGAAACGGAGAGUUCGAAAAAUUGGUGGGUUUGGCUUCAUGAAUCGGGGCAAAAUGGCCCCUAUGAGUAAAAUACUUGUCUUUUUGUGAAAGUAAAUGCAUAUUCAUACUAGAUAGAAUUAUUAUGAAUUUUGAAACACUUAAAAUGCAUGCCUUAUGUAUCACAAAAAUUUCACUAUACAGUAGAGCUAUAUGAGUAGACUGCAUGCAUGUGGAAAAGUGUUUACAUUUGCAAGUUGAUAACAUAUCUCUUACGAAGAUAAUGACUUGAAAUAUGUACCUUGGAACGUACGUAUUAUGCUUGGACAAAGAGGACAAAGUGUCAUAAAGGGGCACUCGAAACUAGCAAACUAUGAAACUGCAACAUAGAGACAUAUUGAUAGGCCAUUGUACAUCUGCUAUAAUCUAUGUUAGAGACAUGAUGACAUAGGGAUAGGCCAUUGAGAUAUUUGUUAUAUUCCAUGUUUUUAGACAUGAGGACUUGGUACUUGAGACAGAUCAUUGCUUGCUUGCCAUUGUGCUCAUUCGCACAUGCUUGUGAGGGUCGCUCCCUACAAGCCGGCACUCCGGAGAUAGCCAUCGCGACAUAUGCUCGCCGUAAGGGAUUGGGCGCCGAAAUGGGAUGCCGUGGGGGAGGCUCAUUCCUAGAGUGGGGAUGUUGACUACCACGGGGCCAUUAGGCACGGCGUAGGCCAGACAGCCUUCGGGUGGGUCUUAUAUGAUUGGAACUUAGUGACGUGCUAUGUGAACUUUAAAACUAUUAAAGUGUCAAGUGGACUUGGACUAGAAUAGUAAACAAUGACAUUUUACUAUUUAGCUUGUGGACAUCAUGAUAGUUGUAGACUUAUACUUCAUGUACAGUUGCUUUUAUACUUAUGCCAUCCAUGCUAAGUAGAGAUAUCAUGUCGUAGUAAGUUACAUUUUUACUUACUUUUCGCUUUACUGCCUUAUUGUUACUCACCCUUUUCUUUUCAGUUUUUGGGCCUAGUGGUGCAUUCACUGAAGCCAGUAAUUGCCCACUGGAAACUAUUAUUUAAUAGUUCUCACGCCCUCUGUUUUAUGUUUCCCUUUCAGAGCCCUCUGCACCGGCGGAGGCACGGGACCGCGGCAAGGGGAUCGCUAGCUAGAUAGCGAGGAUUCACUUUUACUCUUAGGUGGUUUUCCCUCUUUUUAUGUUUUGGGAGAGCGAGGGAUUUUGUUUACCAUGUAUAGAGACCGCCUAUGUACUCUUUUAGUUCUUGUAUUUGGGAUUUCUCUUUGUAUUACUUUACAAUUUUACUUAGUGGAUUAUCGCUUAUGUUCUUUCCUCUAUUGUAGAACUUAGUCAUUUAUUAUGCUCUGAUACUCCUAGAUGUCUUUUAUUAUUGCUUUAUUCAUCGUUGUUUUUAGACGCCUUAUAUGUUUUAGACGUAUGGCGGGUCUGUGCACGUGCCGGGCGGGUUUCCGCUGUGCCCCGGGGCGUGACAGAUUAAUUUGGUAUCAGAGCCUAGGGUUGAGUCUUAGUGGACCUAGCAAACCUUAGGCCGGUUGGACUAUAGGAAAUAGGCUCGUGAGAGAUGAGGUCUAUUCGACUUGUAAGUGAAAGUAUCUUGAUUGGGUAUCUUUGAUAACUCUAGAAAGUGGAGUUAAAUUGAAGUGUAUAGCUCCUAACUUCGCGGAGGGUUACGUUGGCGGCCAACAACGUAACAUCGGGAGUUAGUGGUGAAGAAUACUUCCUUACUUUCGCAUGAUUUGGGUAUUGUCUAUUUGAGCGGGGAUGCGAUAGCAUGAGCUUUACUAACUUGCGCUUUUAUGAUGUUGUAGUGCGAUGCCGAUUACACGCUCUCAAUCCGCUGGAGUUGAUACUGCGGCAAACCUGGAGGAGGUCGAGACCUCCGCUACCUCCGGAUUCGGCAAGGUCCGCGAGUUGAGGGGCCAGCUUGCGGCCCUCACUGAUAUGGUGACCCAGCAAACUGAGGCGGCGCGCCGACAGGAGGCGCGGAUGAAGCGCCUCGAGGACCUUCUUCUGCAGCAGGCGGCAGCUUCUAGGGAGACUCAGGCCCCUACACCGCCAGCACCAGUUGUGGACAUCGCGCCGAGAGCGCCGUCCCCUGCGCCUAGUUCGUCGCGUGCAGCGCCCGUAGCCGCGCCUUAGGAGGAGGGUUUGGCGGCGCCACCUGUUCGGGCACCCCCGAUUGGAGCAGCAUUCCCUACAUUGGUCGAGGGGGCGGAGCGAGAUAGACUGAUGGAGCGCCUCAAUGAGUUUAGGAGGUGCAGCCCCCGAGUAUUCGACGGCGAGAAGGUCGACCACUGGAUCGUGGAGAAGUGGUUGAUGCAUAUGGAGAAGCUCUUCCGCGACACCUUCGUGGAGGAGAGGGACAGAGUUUGGCUUGCCACUCACCACUUGGACGGCGAGGCUUACCGCUGGUGGUUGGAUCUCCAGGAGUACCCCAGCACUGACUUGGCGGCUAUUACUUGGACGAGGUUCAAGGAACUUCUGUUGGUGCACUACUUCCCGACUAGUGUCAAGCGGAAGAUGGAGCAGGACUUGCGCAACUUGCGCCAAGGUGAUCGUACCGUAGCCGAGUACGAGAGGGAGUUCUCUCGGCUUUUGCACUGCGUGCCCUUUGUCGUGCGGGACGACGAGGACAAGGCCCGUAUCUUCGAGCGAGGAUUGCGACCUUCGAUCUACCGGUUUGUGCAAUCCUCCAACCUCCAAACCUACCGGGAGGUGGUGGAUCGCGCGCUUAUCGUGGAGAGCGGCGCGGCAGAGGUACAGGAGCGGCGUGAGGCCAUGGACAAAGGCAAGGCCAAGAGGCCUGCGGCUGAGGGUGCGAGCCAGACGCACUCUAGGAGGCCGCCGAAGCAUCCGAAGAGCCAGCAGCGUGGACGCGGCUCAGCAGCACAGCGAGGGGGUUAUGACCGACGCCGGCCCUCCCCGUGUGUGAUCUGUGGUGGACCUCAUCACCCACCGCAGUGUCCACAGUGGGCGGGCAGGUGCUUCCAGUGUGGCCAGGGAGGGCCACGUGCGGACUGAGUGCCCGAGGGGUUCUUCACCGGCACCGUCGACUGCAUCGGCACCGACUCUACCAGCCGCCAGCCACGGGACUCCAUCGGCGCAGUACCAGCCUGGGCGGCCAUCCGUCCAACGGCAGAGCGAGGGUUUUCGACAGGCCCCGAGCGGGCGCAUGUAUGCCGCUCAGACCGAGGAGGCGGCAGCAGCCGAGGAUGUGGUCGCAGGUAUCAUUUUACUUGAUGGCAUUAAAGUUCGUGCAUUAUUUGAUACCGGUGCAUCACAUUCAUUCAUAGAUCGGCUAUUUGCCGAGUUGCAUGGCAUCCCGUUAGUUUCCUUAUUGCAUCCGGGACAUGUUGUAGUACCCGACCACGUUUUGGAUAUUAAAGAGUAUAGCCCCAGUUGCCCUAUUCGGGUGGGAGAUUGGGUUAUGCCCGUGGAUUUGCUAGCUCUGCGUAAGCUAGGGGACUUCGAUGUGGUCUUAGGCAUGGAUUGGUUAACCAAGUAUGAUGCCACGAUUGAUUGCAAGAAUCGCACGGUUACUUUUAGAGAACCGGGACAAGUUGAGAUGAUAUUUAGAGGAUGCCAGAGUUCGCUUUUUGCGAUGACGAUCAGCUCGUCUCGAGCCAGGCAGCUGAUCAGCAGAGGUUGUGUAGCCUACUUGGCUAGUGUUGUGUUGAGGGGCGAGGGUGAUACCCCUAGGAUUGAGGAUAUCCCGGUGGUGCGGGAGUUUUGUGACGUGUUUCCAGCUGAGCUACCGGGUAUGCCACCCGAUAGGGAGAUCGAGUUUGUGGUAGAUCUCGUCCCUGGGACUACUCCAAUCUCGAAAGCGCCCUAUAGGAUGGCACCGGCGGAGCUGAAGGAGCUGAGGGCACAGCUGCAGGAUCUUCUGGAUAAAGGCUUCAUUCGACCGAGCGUCUCGCCUUGGGGGACACCCUUUUUAUUCGUCAAAAAGAAAGACGGAUCGCUACGCCUAUGUGUGGACUAUCGUGAACUUCAUAAAGUCACGAUCAAGAAUAAGUAUCCGUUGCCGAGGAUCGACGACCUGUUUGAUCAGCUACAGGGAUCGUGUGUGUAUUCCAAGAUAGACUUGCAGUCGGGAUACCACCAAUUGAAGAUCAAAUCCGAGGAUGUAUCGAAGAUGGCUUUUAGAACACGGUAUGGACAUUAUGAGUUUACUGUUAUGCCGUUUGGGCUUACUAACGCCCCGGCAGCUUUUAUGGAUCUAAUGAACCGUGUUUUCAAGCCUUAUCUAGACAGGUUCGUCGUGGUGUUUAUCGACGACAUUUUGGUCUACUCCCGAAGUGAUGUGGAUCACGAGGAACACUUAAGGAUUGUGCUUCAAGUACUUCGAGAAAAGGAGCUUUAUGCCAAGUUGAAGAAAUGUGAAUUUUGGCUUCGAGAGGUAGCCUUCCUUGGACACUUGAUUUCAAGGUCAGGUAUAGCCGUGGAUCCCAAGAAGAUUGAAGCAAUCAAGGAUUGGCCGAGACCGACGAGCGUCACGGAGAUACGGAGUUUCCUUGGAUUUGCCGGCUACUACUAGAGAUUUGUUGAGGGAUUUGCUAAGUUAUCUACUCCCCUCACGAGGCUCACGUAUAAAGGAGUCAAGUUUAUUUGGAAUGAUGCGUGCAAGAGAAGCUUCCAAGAGUUGAAGCAGAGAUUGACGACCGCCCCGAUCUUGACCCUACCAGUAGCUGGAGCAGGGUAUGUGGUUUAUAGUGAUGCUUCACUUAAUGGAUUGGGCUGUGUAUUUGUAACAUACCACGUCCCUCGUAAAUCGUGCCGAGUUCCGUCGAAAUGAGCGGAACCCGGAGUGGAGCGAGUUAGCAUGGACCCUAGGAGCAUUAGAGUCCAUAAAUGGAGCUAAAGGGACCCGAGAGAGCAAAUCUGAAAAUCUGGCUAAGUCCCAGAUUUCGAGCUCUCGGGGACCGGUCCCUGAAGGAGAGACCGGUCCCCGUACGCGUAGCCUGCCAGGAAGUCCUGAGGCAACCGGUCCCUGGUGGUGAGACCGGUCCUCGGGAGACCGGUCCUGGAGAGGCAGACCGGUCCCUCACUGCGCAGCAGCUGAAAAACCCGAAAAUUUGGCUAAGUCCUGAAAACCCCACGUUCGGGAACCGGUCCCUGGUCGGGGAGACCGGUCCCCGAAAGCGAAAAAUGCCCAGUCUGGGCAGAUCAUGGGAAAUAAGUGGAGGGGCUUAAGUGCAAUUGUUAUAACACUUUAUAUGGGCCAUCCCCUCUCUCCCACAGCCAUUUCCCUCCUCCUCUCUCAUUUUCUCUCUUUUUCUCUCUAGAACUCCUCUAGAACUUGGAGAAGAAGAAGAAGAACUUGGAGAAGAAGGUGGAUUUGGUGUUUUGGAGGUUCUAGGAGCUCUCCAACAAGAAGAGUCUUGGUGGAGCUUGGACUAGAGGUGAGUUCUUGCAAGACUUCCUCUAGGGUUUGGGUUUUAACCUAAGGAUUUGGAGCUUUGUGCUCCUUAGAGGCUUUAGAGGCUCUUUUGAGCCAUGGAUGCCAUGGUACACAUGAGAGCUCAAGGUGCUCUCAUGGUGAAUCCUUGGAAGUUGAGUUAGAAGCCCUAGGGAUGGUUCUAAAGGUUUAGAAACCUUAAUAGAGAGCUUCUUAUGUGAUCCUAAGCUAUCUUUUGCUUAGUAACAAGAUCAAUCCAAGAGAAAACCCUAGGUGACAUUGUUAGGGCUUGGAAAUUAGGGCUUUUGCCCUAGGAUUUUUCGGGGACGAAUUGACCCCGUAGAAACCUAAUUGGGGGUGCCCUAAACGCGUGGGACAACUCCGUUUGACAUUACGAAAAUGUUAUAAUAUAGUUCAUGUACAAAAGGCCUAAUAUGGCACUAUUUUGGUUAUAGGGCGCGGAAUCGGCUUUCGUAAAGUUCGGGGGUCGUCACAUUCCACACCCACACGAUUAUUAGAGGUGGGGGGUGCACGCCGGAAUCGUUGGAUUCCCUUCUAUGUCUGUUUCACUUUUGUUGAGCAUUUUAUUAUAUAGCCAUUCAUGCAUAGUAGGGAAAUCUUACAUGUGACUAGAGACUAGAAUUUCAAUAUUAUGCUUCUUAUGUAGAUGGAUAUAGUGAUUGAACAAGAACCGAAAUGGACAUGUAUGAUUGAACCCGAGAGAUGUGUGAAUGUGAGACUUGGACUUGACCAUAGUAAACAAAGGUGACAUUGACUAUAGAGACAAGAUUGCCAUUGACGAAAAUGACCAGAAAGUGACAUGAACAAAUAGGUAGGAANCGGGAUCGCGGCAAGGGUGUCGCAUAGCUAGCUCGCGGAGAGUUCUUUUGCCUAGGUGGUUUACUCCUCCAUUUUAUAUUUUGAGAGAGUGUGAGGCUUUUGUAUCCAUGUAUAGAGACCACCUGUGUACCUACCUAUAGCACUUGUAUUUGGGAUCCCCAUUGUACUUACUUUAUGUUUUGUUUAGUGGAUUUACAGUUUUAACUUUAUCCCUUGUUGUAGCAUUUAGACUUUUAUUAUGCUCUGAUACUACUAGAUGUCUUGUAUUAUUGCUUUUAUUAUUGUUGUUUUUAGACGCCUUAUAUGUUGUAGACAUAUGGCGGGUCUGGGCACGCGCCGGGCGGGCUUCCGCUGGGUCCCGGGGCGUGACAAACACCCCCAUCGCCUCCGCCUCCAGAUCCGAAUCCCCCCUUCCUCGAACGUGAUCUCCACCAUCGCCGACCUCAUCUCCCGCGUCGCCAUUGCCGCGCGGUUCUUCUCCGACUCCCGCGCCAGCUCCAGGAGCCGCCGCACCACUGCAACCCUCGCCGCCACCGAUGAUGACGACGAUGACGCGGGUUUGGCCUCGGAAAGUAGGAGGUGGAGGAGGGAGGGGUCGGCAGGUUGCUUAGGGGUGGGGAUGUGCUAGCCGAGGGGGAGGGGUAGGGGCGAGGAAGGUCUGGAGUCGGCGCUGGGAGGUGUCCAUCUCCGGCAGGAAGAAGAAAAAGAAGAGGAGAAAAAAAAACAAGAAAAGAAAUAGUGCAAAUUUUUUCUAAAUGGUGCAAUCUUGGCCAAAAGAGUGUAAAGUCUAUUUUAAAAGAAUGCAAUUUCUAUAUGAAAUAGUGCAAUUUUCAUUAAAACAGAGCAAUUUUUUUUUAAAACAGUGUAAAUUUUUUUUGAGAGUGCAAUUUCAUCAUCUUCUUUCUUCUCCUAUAUUUUUUAAUCUUUUCUGUAGGAAAAAAGUAAUUUUUUUUAUUUUUUAUUAUUCUUAUUUUUUUCUAUAAUUUUUUUUUAUCACCACCUCUCCCUUACUUUCUAUCGCAAUCAUCACGACGUCGUCAGUGGCGAUCUCGCCGCCUCCGACGAUGUCUCGGCGUUUCGAUGCGAGGUGGAGGAGAAGAGCCUGCGUCUCGACGUCACCGUGCCCUAGUUGAGAAGAAAGGUAGCGACGCGGCUUCAGCAGGGUCGGAGGCAAGGAGGACUGGAGUGCACGGGGCGGAGGCUAGGCGGGCUGUUCCCGCCUCCGCCUCCGCUGCCUUCUUCGGAGAGAGAAAAAAAGAACGAGAGAAAAAAAAAAAGGAGGAGAGAGAAAAAAUAAUAAGAGUAUUUUGGUCAGUUUGCUGAAAUUUCGGCCUGAAUCUGCAAAAUCGAAAAAAGUGGUCCACUUUUGCAAAAGUCCAAAAUUAGUGAAUUUUUAUGCAAAUUGGCCUUUAAACUUAGGUUAAAUUAUAGAAAAUUUUUCUGUAAAUAUUCGCUUUUUUACUUUUCCUUCAUGACUAUUAAAAAAUCUAUAUGUUGCUUCUUUAAAAUUUCAGAAAUAUUUUCAGAAGGGUACGGCAUUAAUGGAGAGGACAGAAUGACCAAAUUACCCAUACUUCUUUUAUAAGAAGAAAUAACAUUUGUUAAUAUAAUUAUGUUAUUUUGAAGGAUAUUUUUUGUAUAAAUUAUAAAAAAUAGACAGAAUAAUGAUGGAAUCCUANAGCUUUCGCUUCUGUUGUUGCUUGCCCUCGUGCAAGCCUUGUAUAAAUGCUAAUCUCAUUGUUUGAUUGCUUUACUAUACAUGGUUUAGAGCCUUGGACGGGCAGGGGAGGCUCUGUCCGUUCGGCGUCUGUUGGCGUGACCCGAACCCGACCAAAUUGGCGGGGAUUGGGGCGUGACAGUAUUGAUGCAGGAUGGCAAGGUGAUCGCGUAUGCUUCUCGCCAACUGAAGGAAUAUGAAAGGAACUACCCGACGCAUGAUUUGGAGUUGGCUGCCGUGGUGUUCGCAUUGAAGCUAUGGCGCCACUAUCUUUAUGGCGAGCGGUGUGAAGUUUAUACGGAUCACAAGAGCUUGAAAUACCUGUUUACUCAGAAGGAGUUGAACUUAAGGCAGCGCAGAUGGUUGGAGCUACUCAAGGAUUAUGAUCUUACUAUUCUUUACCACACGGGCAAGGCUAACGUGGUGGCGGAUGCGCUAAGUAGGAAAUCGACAGAAAACAUAGCGAUGUUUGUGGUGACCCAACCGCAGUUGAUCGAGCAGAUGAAGCCGUUGGAGUUGGAGGUAGUGACUCCGGAUACACCUUUGAGGUUGAUGACCUUGGUUGUGCAACCUACACUUUUGGAUCGAAUUAAAGAGAAGUAAGCUUCCGAUUUGGAGUUGCAAAAGAUUAAAGGUAAAAUGGUUGAUGGUUGCACCGGUGACUUCUUAGUGGAUGACCGAGGGUUGAUGCGAUUCCGUGGACGGCUAUGUGUACCGGCGGAUGCGGGAAUCAAAGAGGAUAUUCUUCAAGAAGCGCACCGAGCGCCCUAUGCUAUACAUCCGGGAGGUACCAAGAUGUACAAAGACUUGAAGUUGCUUUAUUGGUGGUCCGGGAUGAAAAAGGAUGUUGGCGAGUUUGUAGCUCGUUGUUUAACUUGCCAACAAGUAAAGGCUGAGCACCGAGUUCCCGCGAAAAAACUUCAGAGUUUGCCUAUUCCCGUGUGGAAGUGGGAGAAGAUCACCAUGGACUUUGUGACUGGAUUGCCUCGCUCACAGGCUGGGCAUGAUGCUAUUUGGGUGAUCGUGGAUAGGUUGACGAAGUCGGCGCACUUCAUACCUAUUCAUACGACUUGGACCGGAGAGAAGCUCGCACAAGUGUACCUUGAUGAGAUUGUGCGACUUCAUGGAGUGCCUACGACGAUAGUAUCAGAUCGAGACACUCGGUUUGUGUCUCACUUUUGGAGGAGUCUGCAUGAUGCCUUGGGCACUCGUUUGGAUUUUAGCACUGCUUUCCACCCUCAGAGUGACGGGCAGUCGGAGCGCACCAUUUAGACUUUAGAGGAUAUGCUCCGAGCAUGUGUGAUAGACUUCCGGGGAGGAUAGUCGCAGCAUCUACCCAUGGCGGAGUUUGCUUAUAACAAUAGUUAUCAAGCAAGCAUCAUGAUGGCACCGUUCGAGGCACUGUAUGGACGGAAGUGUAGAUCGCCACUUCAUUGGAGUGAAGUUGGCGAGAGAUUGGCUCUGGGACCAGAUGUGCUCCAGGAAGUCGAGGAUAAAGUUCGAAUUGCUCGGGAGCGACUUUUGACGGCACAGAGUAGACAGAGGAGCUACGCCGACCGACGGCGGCGAGACUUAGAGUUCCAAGUUGGAGACCAUGUUUUCUUGAAGGUCUCGCCGACUAGAGGAAUCAAGAGAUUCGGGAUUCGGGAAAAGUUAAGCCCCCGUUUCAUUGGACCGUAUGAGGUUUUGGAGCGUGUAGGCCCGGUAGCGUAUCAACUUGCCCUACCGCCGAAUCUAUCGGGCGUACACAAUGUCUUUCAUGUAUCGGUCCUUCGGAGGUACAUACAUGACCCAACUCACGUUUUGGAGGCCAUACCAGUGGAGCUGCAUGAUGAUUUGAGCUUUGAGGAGCAACCCUUGAGAAUUUUGGCUCGCGAGGUGAAGAGAUUGCGGAACCGUGAGAUUCCCUACGUGAAGGUACUUUGGAGCAACCACGACGAGCGCGAGGCCACUUGGGAAUUGGAGAGCGCACUGCGGGAGCGCUAUCCCCAUCUUUUUCAGAUGGAGGUUUGAGGUACGUUGCUUUCGAGUUUCGCGGACGAAACUCUUUUUUAGGAGNGAUGAAUAUAAGCACAUAUGAGAUAAGAUUUGCCCCCGCUUGUAUUCUUCGCCUACAAGAAAGAGCUUCCAUCCAAAAAUUCUCUUUUCUUAAAACAAAUACCCUGACUAAAUUCUUUAUCUAAGUUGUACGUUUACAAACAAAACAAAACGAAAAAUAAAUAACAAAAUUCAAUCCGAUUUCAUUUAUUCCAACCGAAAGUAAGUUCGAUGCUAUCGUGAUUUCGUACCAAUCGGAGUAUAAGUACAUGCCGACCAAAGCUAAUCAGACACAAAGAUCCAUUAAUGACUUAGAAUGCACUAAUUAUAUUGCUGAUGUGGCGUUCUCAACCAAUGCAAUUAUUUUUUUGGAAUUCAUCAAUUCCAUCGUGUUUAUCAGAAAAAUAUUUUUAUUUUACCUUUUUCUCAAAGAAAAAGAUAUAAUUGGUUGGUUAUUGAUGAUAUAGUGUAAGUGUGACACAGUAAAUUUUCUGAUCCUUAAAUUCUUUCGUGAGAUCGCCGCUCUUCCACCAUCACUGUCGCUCCGCUCCUGCUCCCCCACCCCUUCACCCAAGCCCGCCGCUCCCCUCACUUGGUCUCACGACCUGACCAACGUGUCCUAACUUUGAAUCGUAAGCACUAACUAUUCCAAAAAUAUGGACUGAUACGACGGCGCAUUCAUCGCACUUAAGGCUUGACCACAACACUCACAGACUUCACAGACUUCGAUCCUGACUCAACUCAUAUGAACAUUAUGUCUAUUAUAAGGCCUCUUGUCGUUAGGUUUAUUAUAAACCGCAAUCACACUUAAAUUAUUAGACUAACCCAACUCAAAUAUUAGCUUCCUGAGCCUACUAUCAUGGAACAAAAAAUUAAGCAUAUUUUAGGCUAUAAUAAACAUAGUUAAUUCGUGAAUUAUUCGCGAUUUAUUGAAAAAACCGAAUAAACCGGUCUGUACACGAUUUAUUUCCAAAAGAUCGAAAUAAUACGUGAAUUUUUGGGUUAGAUUUAUUAUUUGCGAAUAAUUUGCGUAUAUCGAACUAUUCGGCCAAAAAAAUGCACAAAUUUUUGGGAUAAAAUUCCUUUCUGAAUUAUCGCCGGAUUAUUCGCGAAUUAUUGAAAAACUUCAUGACCUUCUGAAAUAUUGGAUCAUGAAAAAGAUGAAGAUGAAGACGAUAAUAAAAUUUGCUAUUAUUUUUUUUUACUUAAUCUAUUUUAUUUUAGGCCAAUUUGCAUAAAGAAUUCAUAAAUUUUAAGCUUUUGCAAAACUGGACCGUCUUUUUUGAUUUUGCAGAUUCGAUCCGAAUUUUCAGCAAACUGACCAAAAUAUCCUUAUUACUUUUUCACUCUCCUCUUUCUCUCUCCUCUUUUUUUCUCUCGUUCAUUUUUUUUCUAUCGCCGAAGAAAGUAGCGGAGGCAGAGGCGGAAGCAGAAAUGGCCCACCUCGCCUCUCACCCUCUCGCCCUCACCCUUGCCCUUGCCCUCGCCCGCGCACCCCCCACCUUCCUCGCCUCCAACCCAACCAAGGCCAUGCCACGACUUUUUUUUUUUCCCUCUCCGACUCUCCUCCACCGUCUCCAACAACGACGCCUCUCUCGCCCUUCCUAGCCCUUCUUGUCCUCUCCCUCUCCCUCCUCCUGUGCCGCCUUCGACGACGACGCAUCAUCGCCGACGCCGACACCAUGGAGGUCGCUGCGGCACUGCAGCCUCGAAGCGGGGGUCUUUAGCGGCGUCGUUGCCGGCGCCGUAGCCGUUGGCAGAGAAGGGUGACAAAAAAAAAUUACAGAAGAAGCAAGAAAAAAAAAAUAAAGAUAAAAAAUUAUAGAAAAAGAAAGAUGAAGAUGAAAUUUCACCAUUAAAAUAAAAUUGUACUGUUUUAAAAAACGUUGCACUAUUAUGAACAUAAGUUGUACUACUUAAGAUGUAAACUACAGUUUUAAGAUAAAAAUUACACUCUUUAAAUAAAAAUUACACUCUUUGAGAGAUAUUUACACUGUUUCUCCUCUUAUUGCACUCUUUCAGAUGUAAACUGCAUCCAUUAAGAUGAAAAUUACACUCUUUAAAUGAAAGUUGCACUCUUUGAGAGAUAUUUAUACUGUUUCUCCUCUUCUUACAUUCUUUGAUAUGUAAACUGUAUCCUUUUAAGAGAUAUUUAUACUGUUUCUCUUCUUGUCAACUAUUUCUCCUCUUGUUACACUAUUUUUUCUCUUAAAGGGUACAGUUUAAGAGAAAAAAUAGUAUAACAAGAGAAAAAAUAGUGCAACAAGAAGAUAAACAGUGCAACAAGAGAAGAAACAGUAUAAAUAUCUCCUAAAGGGGUGCAGUUUACAUCUUAAAGAGUAGAACAAGAGGAGAAACAUUGUAAAUAUCUCUCAUGGAGUGCAACUUUCGUUUAAAGAGUGUAACUUUCAUCUUAAUGGAUACAAUUUACAUCUGAAAGAUGCAAUAAGAGAAAAAACAGUGUAAAUAUCUCCCAAGGAAUGUAAUUUUCGUUUAAAGAGUGUAAUUUUCAUUUUAAAGCUGCAGUUUACAUGUUAAUAGUACAACGUUCUUUCAAAACAGUGCAAUUUUAUUUUAACGGUGCAAUUUCAUCUUCAUUUUUUUUCUAUAAUUUUUUAUUUUUAUUUUUUUUCUUGCUUCUUCUAUAAUUUUUUUUUGUCACCCUUCUCUGCCAGCGCCGGCGACGACGCUGCUAAGGACCCCACACUCCGAGGCUACAGCGCCACAGCGACCUCCACGGUGUCGGCGUCGGCGAAGAUGUGCUUUCGUCGAAGGCGACAAAGAAUGAAGGAAAGGGAGAGAACGAGAAGGGCGAGGAAGGACGAGAAAGGCGUCGUCGUCGGAGACGGUGGAGGAGAGUCGGAGAGGGAAAAAAAAAAAAGUUGCAGCGCGGCCUCGGCGGGGUCGGAGGCGAGGAAGGCGGGUGGUGCACGGGAGAGGGCGAGGGCGAGGGCAAAGGCGAGAGCAUGACGGNGAUAGGAAGGAGAAGAAGAAGGAGAUCAAGAGGAAGGCUUGGAGCACCUCCAUCUCCCUCUCCUCUUCCCAUUGGUGUAGCUCUUGAGGUAAGCUACUAAACCCUAGCUUUGUAAACUUAGGGUUUUGGGUUUUUAUGCUUUGGAAUGGGCCAAAUGGACUCUAGGCAAGCUUCUAAAUAGAUCAAUCCCAUGAUUCUAGGGUUUUAUCGGUGGGUUGCUAUAUGUGCAACCUAGGGCUCCAAAUGGGGGCAUUUUGUAAAGUGUGAGAUUGAUCUCAUUUGAGGCUUUGUAAACCUCAUCGAUAGGUGCCCAAACGCGGGGGCGAAGUCGAUUUCGCGAUUCGUCGAGCGAGCUUGGAUGUAAGGUACCGGACUUCUAAAAUAAUGAAGUUACGGUGUACAUUUGGUUGGAGAGCCAUUUGAAGGGUUCCGGUGAAGUUCGGUGAAGUUCGGGAGAAUCCGGGCGAUUUGGUGUGCGUAGGCGCGGAAAGGGACCCGAAAGGUCAUGUCGGACCAUGAACUAAACCCGGCAUUAGCAGGGAUUAAAAGAUGAUAAAAACAUGCUCGAAAACAUGUUUGGGGAGUCUCGGUUCGAUUUGAAACGAAUCGGAGGUCAAACGAGCGAAAACGGAGCGAAAACGGACCCCGAAAGCUGAAAAAGCUGAAAAUUUGGCUAAGUCUGGAAUGCUGUUUUUCUGGACAUUCGGGGACCGGUCCCUCAAGUCUAGAGACCGGUCCCAGCACCCGAAAAUGGCCCAGUUUGGGCUGUGUGUGACUUAUAUUGUUGAGGGACCUUUGUGCAAUUGUGCCAAGGGUAUAGAGAGGGUUGGGGGCUCAUUUCCUCUCCUUCUCCCUCACACUUUGUAACCUAAACUCUCUCUCUCUCUCUAGAAAGAAAAGAAAGAGAAGAAGAAGAAGAGGAAAGGGAAGGAGAAGGUGGAGGAGAAGGCUUGGAGAAGGAGUUCUACUUCUUCUUCCUCCUCUUUUGGCCAUUGGAGAAGCUUGUUUGAGGUAAGCUUUACACCCUCUAAUGGUAGCUUCUAGUUUAUAAGUUUUUAAGCUCUAGAAAUGGGAUUUAAUGGUGAUUUAGAGAUUGUUAAUCUCAUUUGUUGCAAGAUCUAUAGCUUUAUGUUGCUCUUUGCAACAAUGAGGAGUUAGAGCUCCAAAUGAGAGCUUUAAUGGUAGAUCUCUAGGGCUUUAGUCUUAUGCUCUAGAGAUGGAUUUAGUAACCUUCCUAGAUGCUAAUUAGAUGGAUUAUGUUUAGAUCCAAAGUUCUAAUGGUGGGUUUUUGUCUAAUUGCGACCUAGGGCUCCAAAAUGGGGUUUUAGUAAAUCUUAGGUUAUGAUCUAUUUUGAGUGGUCAGAAACCUAAUUGCCAUGUCUCCGAACGCGUAGGAAGCGACGGUUCGUCGAUUCGUCGAGCGGGUGCGACGUUCCGGCUGAAACAAGUGCUAGAAGGUCCGUUUUGGCCCGAGGAGCCGAGGCGACGUGCGAAGACCACGAAGACAAGCUUUCUAACCUUUCGGCAUUACCAAAAGGUGGGGGAGUGCCAUCCCGAAGCAGUCGGGCUACUCUUUAUGUCUAAGUGCUAAGUUGACCUAAUUGCAUAUUGUGAUAUUGCAUUAUAGGGUGCUAAAUGUAAUUGUUACAUAUUCUUGCAUGCUAAUAGAAUAGUGUAGAGUUGAGUUGCUUAACACCUAAAUCUAGUAUGCAUGAGAUUAACGUCAAAUGACUUGAGACCCUAUAAUGAAGUGAUAGUUGAUAGGAAGUGAACCUGCUUAUGUGAAUGAGAAUUUAGUAUGGUAUAACUAAUGUUUGAGAACAACAAACUUGACGAGUGGCAUCUAGUUAACAAACUUGACGAGUGGCAUCUAGUUAAUGUUGAACUUAGGAGAGAACUAGUUCCCAAGUGAUGUUGUCUAGAGUGGUAGGGUAUCCUCAGUGACGGGGAUUUGACCAUACUUAUAUGUCUGUUCAAAGCUUGGUAUGGUCGCUCCACACAAGCAGUGCACUCCGGAGUCGUCACAUGAUAGGGAUAGCCGUUUGGUUCCCGAGGGAUAGCCGUUUGGGUCCCGCAGACAGUCUUGGGCGAGUGAGCUGAUCCUCCCCAGGUGAGUUGGGUGAGUGAGUUGAUCCUCACCCAUGAGUUGAGAUUGGGCUGUCGUACCUAUGUUGAGAGUCGGGCGAGUGAGCGGAUCCUCCCCGUUGUGUUUAGAUUGUGAGUCGGGCGAGUGAGCGGAUCCUCCCCGUUGUGUUUAGAUUGUGAGUCGGGCGAGUGAGCGGAUCCUCCCCGUUGUGUUUAGAGUGCGAGUCGGUGAGUGAGCGGAUCCUCACGUAUGUGACUGAGUAGACUAGCAUAGUAGUAUGAGAUAGGCUACCUAUUAUGUUGCAGUUUAUACAUGUAUUUUUGUUGAAAGCAUAGUAUCAUGAGAUAGGUUGCACAUUAUUAUGUAGUUCAUGCAUUCAUAGCAUUGGAUUGAGGCAUAGUUGGAUAUUAGCAUCGCUUUACAUUAUGCUUUAUCGUUAUUGCUUUCAUAUAUAUCUAUCUAUCUUUCCGUCUUCGUCUUCGUCUUCCUAUGCCUCCUUAGACCUAGUGGGGAGAUUGGCGGAGUCGGCGGCCGAACCCACUGGGAACUAUAUUCAUAUAGUUCUCACCCCGCGUGGUUUGGGGUACAGGUACACACGAGAGAGCUCCGGCCGAGGACCGCGGCAAGGGCUUAGCGCCCUAGUGUUGGUAGUAGUUACUUUCCUACUUGCAUUAGAGCUACCUAUACCUUUUGAGAGUAGAUGAUGUAUAGGUGUGAGGCUAUUUUGGAAAUUGUAAGCUUUAAGUUCAUGAUGUAUUUUGGAAGCUUUAAUUGUAAUUAAAUGUAUCAAAGUUGAAUGGAUGUAAUAGCUAGUUAUUUCUCUCUUUUAUUCACUUGUUCACUACUUGUGAUGCUUGCUCUUUAUAUGUUUGGCACUGGUUGUGCUCUCGCUAUUGUUGGAUUGUGUAUGUUAUCAAGUUGUUGUCCUGGGCACUUGUGUACACAAUCUCGUUGCUUAGCCGUGGGCGGACAGGGGAAGUGCUGUCCGUUCGGCGUCUGUCCGACGCGCCCGAACCGGCCAAAGUGGUAGCGGUUUCGGGGCGUGACAGUUAUGGUAUCAGAGCGAGUUAAGAGCAAGCAAAGAGAGAGUCUAGGACUGACCUAGGAGACCCUAGGACGGUAAACCGUAAGGUUAUAGGUGUGUGAGUGGAACGUGAACUUAUGACAGCGGCGGAAGUUAAUUAAUUGGGUCGAAGUUGGUGUUGAGACUCUAGUAGUUGCUAGAGACGAUUCAAGUAGUACUAGUUCUUGACUUAAGGUGGUUGUGUUGGCGGCCGACAACACGACGCCGAGAGUCAAGGAUGAGUACGCUUGUGAACUUCCGCCUGAUUUGUGUUGUUGAGUCAUUUUAUCGCGUAAUUGCGAGAGGUUGUUGGGUUGAGGUGAUUAACCGAUUUAUUGCGUUUCAGGAGCUAAUGUCCCCGAGACGCUACGCACGUAGAUCCGUUCCGGCACCGCCCCCUGAGGUGCCAAAGCCUCCUGGGGCGCCAGGGCCAGCUGGGCCUAGUGAGGUGCAGGAAUUGCCGGCGCAGGUGACCGCACUAGCUGGUCAAGUUGGGCGGCUCCAGGAUUUGAUGGAGCGGCAGAUAGCAGCAGUGGCUGCGAUGGCGGCUGGAGGUCGUGACCCGCCCGCACCCUCGGCUCGCGUCCCUAAUGCGACUGAGAGUGAGGGUGUUCCAGCGGCGCCGGUGGCGGCGCAACCCCCGCCGGCAAGUGUUCCUCCAGCGGCAUCGAGUUCUGCGACACUCGGUGCGGCGGCCGAGGAGAUACAGCGAGAGCGUGGCUACACGGCUCUCACAAGGUUUACAAAGUUCCACCCGCCUACGUUCGAUGGAGAAGUGAUAGAUCCUUGGACGGUGGAGACAUGGUUGGCCUCGAUGGAGACCCUGUUC
rnacentral:lncRNA from 1 species